UGUUUAUUUUGUUUCUUGAGGAGUCAAAAGUUUUUCCCACUUGCAAUUUGUUUGAUCCACUUCAGAUGCAAACAUAAGGCUGAUCACUUCUAUAUUUAUAUUUCAUGCUUACAAGGACACAACUGCUAAAGUUGAUAAGAAUCUACAUAUUAUGCUACAAAACUGUUGUGUUGCUUUCUUUUUUCUGUCUUUCCAAGCCAAAUAUUCAAUUUGUUAUUUUACAGUUCACUAUUUUAUUUGGCUUUCUGACUGAAGUAGGGUUUUUAUUUUUGUUCCAUUUGAUACACAGGAAUUAUGUUAUUCAAUAUGUCAUGGAGCUAAAGAUCCCAUCUGCAAUGGCCAAACUGAUUAAUCAAUUAAAAGGACACUUUGUACGCCUCUCAACACAGAAAUGUAGUAGUCACGUGGUUGAAAAAUGCCUCAAGUAUUUUGAAGAAAGCCGACCAAGAAUCAUCCAUGAAUUGCUCUCAGUUCCUUGCUUUGAACAGUUGUUGCAAGACCCUUAUGCUAACUAUGUCGUUCAAUCUGCUCUUACAGUUACCAAGGUUUAGGAACCAACAUCUCUCCAAGUGAUUUAUAAUGGACUCUCUCUCUCACACACACACACACACACACAUAUGUCCUAAUAUUUUUGCUUCAUUGGCAGGGCCCUCUUCGUGCUUCUCUGGUUGAAGCAGUUAAGCCUCAUACAAUCUUACGAACCAGCCCAUACUGCAAGAGGAUUUUCUCACGGGAGCUCCUGAAGAAGUGAUGUGUUUUAGCCUAUAUAGAAAAGUGUUGUUGUUCUCAAUGUUGAUUAGUAAUAACUGCUCUCUUUUGGGCACCUAGCUAAGAUAUGAGAUGUUUGUCUAAAUUCCUUGCUGGUCCUCAGAUGAAGUGUGCAAUUUUGGAUGGCAUUAAGAAGUCUGAAGGAGUUCGACCAGAGUUUUGCUUCCAGUUUCUUAUGAUGCAGUUGCUUCUUGUAAUACUCUGUUGUUUUGUGUCUUUAUCUGAACUUGAUGUAUGAUAUUCCACAGUCAGAACAGUGGAUUUCUGAUUCAAUGUUGUGUAAAUGUGAUGCAGCAUUUCUUUCUUGAGGCUGAGAUAGUUCAAUGGCCAACCAUCUCUUUUUUGUUAUACAUAGCGCUGUUGGUAGCAUGUGACUGGUCUUGUAAGAUGUACGUUGUACACACCGGCUUUACACAGGAAUAUUUUUCCUUUAAGAAACUCUUCUCCAGACGCACUCAUCUACCCACAGAAAGUGAAGCAAGAGAUGAAAUUUCAGAGCACAUCAUAAUGAACACAACGAGGGUUUGGUGUUAUGAACAAGAAUGUAUAACUUGAAUCGCAAGUAAGAUACAUUGCCCUUCACACUUGCCUUUAAUCUCAAGUAUGUAAAUGGCUUGCAAUUAUUUAAAAAAAAUUUCCAAUGACUCAACUGAUGGAUCGCUAUCAAAGAAUGCAGAAGCCAACCAGGGGCUGCUGUCUAAUAUAGUAGAAAGUUGUGAAAACUCUCAACUCUAACUUCAAGUUUACUGAAGGCAACUAUGUAUUUCAUAAUAUGAAGACGUUAUAUCAGAUUGCCGCAGAUAGUUUUAUUCGAACAGACAUAAAAAAGCAAACAUAGUCAGGAAACCACCACAAAGAGUACAACUCUUAGACUAGAACAGCUCAAGCAUCCUCAUGUCCAACCAGGGCCAGAAGCAUUUUUUCAUAAUCUCCAGUAGUGUCUUUUUUAAUGGCCUGGUCCAGAGUGACACUAUUUCUUUUGUGGUACUGUUCCUUUAUAAGCUUCAUGUCAACCUCAGCUCUUGUGGUGACAACUCUACUGAGAGCUCCUUCAUCUGUUCCUCGUUUGUUGAUUGCCAGACGAAGAGACUUCUCAAAGUACUUCUCAGGGCGGACCAAGCACUUAAUUGUGGCCCUUAGUAUUGCAAGGUACUCAUCCUUGGGGUCAGCUUUCAAAUCCUGUGAAUAGAAACACUCAUCAAAUCCAAUCCUCUGUGGAUACCUAGCAAAAAAAUGUUUAUGCAAAGCUCACUUGUGUACCUUAUUUAUGUCAUUCCCAAAUUCAUUUUUGUAGUGAUUGAGAGUUGCAUUGAUCUGUGCUUUGCUCCGUGUGGCCAAAAUCCUGAUGAUAUCCUCAUCAUUGUAGGCCUUGUCUGAGAUCUUCUCAUGGAGUAGCUUAGCCUCUGAUUUUGCCAGUGUCAGGUUCACCUCAUCUCCCUCAUAUCUAUAUGAGCUAACAAGAGGGGCCAAAAGCUGGGAGGAGCAAAGUUAGAUAGUAAUUCUCUUUUUUGGUACAAAUACAGUGAAAUUCUCAAAUGAGAUAAAACUUGGUAUGGUAAGUUCAUACCAAAAUUUACGUUGGCCACCAAAAAUAAACUUUUUAACAUUGACAUUUUGGAAAUAAAAAAAAGAAACUAAAGGCAUAUCAAUGGAUAAAUUUAGUCAAUUCUUUGCUAGGAAGUUUAGUUAUUGCUCUUGGUUGGGGCUGGGAGAAUUCUCUUAGAAAAUAAACUAUAUCCCUUCUAGGCUGAAAGAACUUAUACUCUAGCAGCUGUACCUUGCGAAAGUCCCCGGUUGUGUGAUGUGCAACAUCCUCUUCGAGGGACUUCUUAUAGCGAGAGUGAUAAGCCUGCCUUGCCAUGAGUAGUUCAUGUGAAGACCUACUGCAGGCUAUUUCAGCAAGAACCUGAUUGCUUUUAGUCCACUUCUUUGUUGCUUCAUUGGCCAAAAAUGCAUCACGUUCAGCUGGAUCAAGUGUCCAAAGCAGUAUACUCCUCUGGUUAAGAGAAAUUCGGAAACCCAAAUAUGUCAGCACUUUCAACGAUCCGCUUGCUUCCUCCCAAAAGUUAAUCAGCCAAACAUUAAACUUGUGAAAACUAGCAUCAUGGAUUCUUAUCCAAUCAUGAAAAAAGAUAGCUGAAAACAAUGAGCUAAAUCUCUGCCUUGUCUUGGCAAAAAUCAAUCAUGGUAACAAUUUAUGUAAAAUAUGCAGUCAAAUUAUCUCAACUAAUGCAAAAACUAGAGUGCAUUCUUAAUUUGACCUCAAAAUCACUUGUAAGUUCUUUUUCCAGCUCCUUGAGGAGAUCUUCUCCAUAAGCUUCAGCAUAAGUUUGUCGGAUAACCUUUCUUUGAGGGGCAUUUCUAUGCCCCAAGAUGGAUAUGAUCAAGUCCUCAUUGGUUCCCCAUCCUGCAAUUGUAUUGAUAAAAAUUCAAGAUUACAUGAAACCAAACACCCCAAUCAUGAAAAGUCACAUAAAAGAAAGAAGAUAAACUCUGGUCUAAACUAUUUUAGCUGUUUUAUAUAAUUAUUUAUUCACGUCAAAAUACCAUUUUCAUGUCAAAUCAGGUCCUUUACAAACCUUCUAUAAAUCUAUACGUACCGAUCAUUGUUUUUUUCUUUUUAGAUAAAUUAUCCCAAAUGCAUUAUUAUCUUCUGAUACAAACAGAGCUUUGAUGCAGAGUGAAAGCAUCACCGUUGUACACAAGUAAGCAAUCACAUUCAUUUACGUUGUAUCUAACACUAACAAUCGGAUCGGUGAAAUGGAUGGGAUUGAUCAAUCAUCAAUCAUAAAGCCAAUUACAAAAUAUGGGGUGGUUUAUGAUCAGAACAAGAAAUGAUGCGAGGGAGUAAAAGAUCAAAAAAAUAAUAAAGAAGGAACCUUUGAAGGCCUUUUUGAGCUGCUCACAGUCUUCGGAUGCAGGAGGAACUUGUUGAGGAACUCUAAGCGUCGACAUCGUCACUAUAGCUCUCUCUCUCUCUCUCUGCAAGAAAAUCGAAAACGAAAAUGGCUCUGGUCUAUGAACCUCUGUUUCUAUAUUAUAUAUAUAUAUGGUGUUUGGUAGCUAUCCAUAUAUAGUAAUAUAGUAUGGCCCUUGCAAUUAUCGCCACGUCAAAUACUAUAUUUGUUCCUGUUAUACUGGUCUUGGUCAUUUAAUUUUCACAAUUGAAUUGUUUAUUAAUGAUUUUGGGGAGGUUUACAAUUUCAAAUUCUUGUCUGUAGUUGCUGCUACACAGAGUAUAUAAAAUUACUAAACAAAACCCUUGUCUUAUUUCAUUUUGUUUUUCCUCACAAGGAUAAACAAACUAUAAAACAUCCUAGAUAAAGUAUAUAUAGCCAUAGCAUAGCGCACACAUGCAUGAAAUAAAUUACAAGAAGGAAACAUCUAUGGAGAAUCUUUCUAAAUAGAAGACACAUGAAAAGUGAAAUUUGCAUAAGAUAGAAGAACAUUCUGAUCAGGUAGCCAAAGGAUCAAGAGCAAGCAAUUCACCACAUGUCAUCAUAUGUACCGUCUUCGACAAAUGCAGCAUCUGAGUUGAGAGGAAAUGAGAAACUUGUUUCAUUGUUGGACGAGAUUUUGGGCUGGAAUUCAAGCAUGAAAAUGCUAUCUUCACAAGAGAGACCACUUCGCUUGCAAGUUGAUGUGUAGGAGGGGAAAUGCGUUGGUCCAAAACAUCCACAAUUGUUAUUUGAUGGGCUGGUAAUGCAGAUGAUGAUGAGGAGGAGGAGGAGGAUGAAGAGACUGGUGAGAAAGAUGAGAGAAGAUCUCCAGGAUGCUUUCCCAUAAUUAUUUCCAAUGUGACCACACCAAAGCUAUAAACAUCGCAGUUCUCAUUCACUUCCAUUGUGUAAGCAAGCUCUGCUCAGAGAAAACCUCAGAGAAGUGGCAUUAUUAGUUUAUAGACAUAACUAUUCAAUGGAAUUUUAAUGAAACUGUAUCAUGCAUAAAUCGACUUAUUAUAGCUUAAGAGAAGUGAAAAUGUGUUUAUUAGUAUAUUUUCUAAAUCAAAGAAGUGAAAAUGUGUUUAUGUUAACCGCUCGUAAUGAUGAAAAUGAAGCAUUGGUCUAAAACAAAACAAAAAAUGGCUAAAUACAGAGAACAUGGAAUCGCAAUAUUACCUGGUGCCAUGUAGCCAUACGUGCCUGCAGCGGCAGUCCAAUUAGUUGAGUCUGGAUUUAAAAAUUUAGUUGUGCCAAAGUCUGAAACACAUGCCUCAUAUUCAGAAUCCAACAAAAUGUUCUUACUUGAGAUGUCACGAUGUACAAUCGGUGGCAAGCAAUCGUGGUGCAUGUAACACAAGGCAUGAGCUAAACCUUUAACAAUAUUCACCCUUUUACUCCACCCCAACUCUUUAGCUUCUUCAUCUUUGCUCAACAUUGCGGCCAAGCUACCUCUUUCAAGAUACUCAUACACCAAAAACGAGUGUUGUUUAUUUGCGCAGAAACCAUAGAGCUUCACAAUAUUCCAAUGUCUUAUCUCAGUGAGUGCCCUUUCUUCAUUCAAGAACCCCUUUUGAAAUUCUGUAUCGCCAUCCCAUAGCAGAUGGAGUCUCUUCACGACCACUACGUCUCCAGAUGACAAAUUUACUUUAUAGAUGCUUCCAUGUCCUCCCUUCCCAAUGCAAUAUGUGGAAUCAAAAUCUUCUGUUGCCCUUAUAAUUUCCUUAUACAUUGAUUUUCCAUCAAAAUUUAAAACUGAAAAAGAAAUUUCUCCAUGCAUGUGGUUUUGUUUAGUAUCUUGAUGCUUCUUCUUUGUUUGCAUUAUUACAAAGACAAUUGUAAAGAGAGUAGAUAGAAGUACAAACACUGCAACAGAGAAUAAGACCUUGUGAUCCUUUUUUGAUCCAUGCGCAUUGCAGGGUGGUAGCAGAGCUCCAACUUUGCCACACAAUCCUUUGUUCCCUUUCAAUCUUUCUGGCGGAGCUUCUCGAAAUGCACUGAUGUUGGGAAGGGGACCUUCCAAGUGAUUGUAGGAUAUGUCAACGUACGACAAGCCGUGCAUCUCUUCAAAACUUGAUGGUAUGGAACCCGAAAGAUUGUUGUGGGAAAGAUCAAGUGUCACCAAACUCUGCAUACUGCCCAAUUCUGAUGGUAUCUUACCUUCAAGAGAGUUAUGACUUAAAUCCAUGUAAUUCAAUUGAACUAACUUCUUCAACUUAAAUGGAAUUGCUUGAGCCAACUUGUUGUUGCUCAAAUUCAAGUAGUGCAAUUUCAACAAGUCACCUAGAAUGCUCGGAAUUGACUCAUUGAAUUUGUUUGUUGACAAGUCAAGAUAUUCAAGAUCAUUCAAUGAUCCGAAUUCUAACGGUAUACGACCUGAAAGUUGAUUUCCAUUCAACAUCAACCUCUCCAAAGAAGUCAGUCUCCCGAAUUCUUUUGGGAUCAACCCAACUAAAUGAUUUGAAGAAAGGUCCAACACAUGAAUUUGGGUUGCAUUGCCUAUCUCAGGUGGUAUGCUAAGGUCUUCAGCUUUGGGCAUUGUCCCCAGUUGUGUGAGAUUUCUCCAUACAAGUUGUUGUGGCUUAUAUUCAUAAAAUCAAGAUUUGGAUAAACACCGAAGUCUUCAGAUAUGUUGCCCGUCAAUUGGUUUUGGUCAAGAUGGACUCUCACUAAGCCCGUGCAAUUUUUCAAGCUUUUGGGGAUUGGACCAGUCAAAUAGUUUGUACCUACUGACAAUUUUGUGAGUUUUCCACCUAAGCAGAUAUUUUGGGGCAAAUAACCAGACAAUUGGUUUGUAUCCAAGUACAAUUUAGUCAAAUUCUUGAGAUUCUCUAACUCUUGGGGGAUGGAGCCGGAAAGUUGGUUAUUGCGUAGGAUUAAGAUAUCCAAGUUGCUCAAGUUAGCAAAUGAGGCUGGAAUCGAAUCGUUGAGUUGAUUCUCACCCAACUCUAGAUCUACAAGAGAUUUCAAGUUCCCUAUCUCCUUGGGAAUCAAACCAGAAAGUUGAUUGGAAUGCAAGUACAAAGUGUUUAGCUUUAUUAAGUUACCAAUAUUUGGAGGGAUGAGACCACUUAAAUUGUUCAGGGACAACUCCAGAUCUACAAGAGAUUUCAAGUUCCCUAUCUCCUUGGGAAUCAAACCAGAAAGUUGAUUGGAAUGCAAGUACAAAGUGUUUAGCUUUAUUAAGUUACCAAUAUUUGGAGGGAUGAGACCAUUUAAAUUGUUGUAGGACAACUCUAGAUCUACAAGAGAUUUCAAGUUCCCUAUCUCCUUGGGAAUCAAACCAGAGAGUUGAUUGGAAUGCAAGUACAAAGUGUUUAGCUUUAUUAAGUUACCAAUAUUUGGAGGGAUGAGACCACUUAAAUUGUUGUAAGACAACUCUAGAUCUAUAAGAGAUUUCAAGUUCCCUAUCUCCUUGGGAAUCAAACCAGCAAGUUGAUUGGAAUACAAGUACAAAAUAUUUAGGUUUAUUAAGUUACCAAAUUUGGAGGGAUGAGACCACUUAAAUUGUUAGUUGACAAAUCUAGAAUUACUAGAGAUUUCAAGUUCCCUAUCUCCUUGGGAAUCAAACCAGAAAGUUUAUUAUCAUAGAGAUAGAGAUGGGUAAGGCUUGUUAGAUUGCCUAGUGAUCUUGGAAUUGAACCAUGGAGUUGAUUCUUUUGCAAAUAUAGCCCCACAAGAGGUUUCAGGUUGCCUAUCUCAUUAGGAAUUUCCCCCAACAAAGUAUUUUUAAAGAGACCAAGAUAUGUAAGAUUUCUCAAGAGACUGAUUUCUGGUGGGAUUCUCCUAGACAACUUAUUUAUAGAGAUAUCGAGAUAGUGGAGUUUGGAGAGGUAGCUGAUUUGAGGUGGUAUGGCAUCAAAGAGUUUGUUGAAGCUGAGGUCAAGAUAUUUAAGAUUAGGGAAGGACAAGAAUGAAAACUCAUGUAGCGUACCUUGAAUACCACAAGUGGAAAGGUUUAUCGUGCUGACACUUCCAGCUGAGUUGCAUGAAACACCAGUCCAAGUGCAUGGGCUUGUUCUUGGUUUUGGAUUGGUGUUGGAAGAAUUGGUGGCAUUAAUAUUAUGAGUGGGAGGGUACCAGGUGAGAUGAUUGAGGGCUUUAUUUGGAAAUAAGCUGGCUUUCCAUUUGAGAAGAGCCUUUGCUUCAGUAUCAGAAGUAGAAGUAGCAGAAGGAAAAGCAACCCAAUUUGGUGAUGAAACAUACAUGAAGAUGACCAGGCAAUAAGGCAGGAAGCAUAGUUUACCGGAACUUAAAGAUGUCAUGGUUAUUGUUUGUGUGGAAUACGUAUAUUGUAUGGGUCAUGCCUUACUACUUAUACAUAGUGUGGGUUAGUCUUUGGGGUUCAGUUGAACAUUGAAAAGUCUUUCAGAUCUCAUUUAUAAUCAGUUUUCUUUUGAGUAAACGUCUCAAUCUUUCGUUGUCUAAAUUUAAAUGCCAAUUUUGUAUUUUCUGGAUGAAAUAAUGAAAUGAAAAUGAUGGAGGUGAGAGAUAACCAUAUGCAUUAUAUAGGGGUUUAGAUGUGUCCCACCCACCUGACAAAGAUUUAUUUGUUUACUUGAAAUCUCCCUAUCCUCAAAAUCAGGCCAAGUCUUUUUUACUAUUGAGUGAGCUUGCUGCCAUUGUUAGAAUUGUAAUAAAGUCUUUCUCUCUCGUUCUCUAAAGUUGGAAUUUCAACUUUUGCAUUUUCUCAAAGCAUGAUUAACACUGAAAGAGGAAAAAUUCAAACAAAACAUGCUUCUUAAAGCAACUUUUGCUUUAAUGAAAAAUUAAUCCAAUCCAGUUGUCCCCAACAAAUCUGAAGAGGAAUAACUCGUCAAUGUAAUGUCAUCCAUGCCAUUCAUUUCCAUCCUCGCCAUUCAGUUUUCUUUUGAGUAAAGGUUUCAUUCUUUCAUUUUCUAAUAUAAUGGGAUUCACUUCUAUUAGAGAGGCGAUACAAUUGUGGUAUGAAAAAUGUGGUAAACCUAGCAUUUUUGCUAUAUAAAAUAUAAAUAAAUAAAAAAAAUCUUUCGGAUCUCAUCUAUAAAUUGUAGUCAUUUAUUGGAUAAAUUCAUUUGAUUAUUGUGCUCCCCCGAUGCCACCACCGAUAAUUAAUAGUCAACUUAAUUUUUCAAUUUUUCAACACAAAAUACAUCAGUUAUUUAUUAGCUUGCUUGCUUUGUAGUUGAAUGAAAGCUAUUUCUUCAGAUUUUUUUAUAAAAAAAAAUCGGUUAUUCCCCUUGAACUUGUAAAUAAUUAAAAAAUGAAAAAUAAAAUAACAUAGAUAUACCCAAAAAAAUAAAAUAAUUAUAACAAAAAUAGAGAGAAAAAUAACGUUUUUGUGUGUGGGUAUAUUCGAGUAAUAUUAUGCAUAGAUCUGCUGUUAAUAUGGCUUGUAAUGUUUUCAAGUUCUGCUCAGUCAUUUUAAAAUGACGAAAGUUUGUAUCCUUAAUUUUCAAAAUAAAAUAAUUAUAGAGCAAAAUGAAAAUUUAGUACAAAUUCAGGAGGGAUUUCUAUUAGUUGGGGUUGAGGUUGUUGCUCUAUCUGUGGUGUUUUUUAUUUUAUAGCUUUGUACAUUUUUAUUUGUUCUUAUUUGGAUUGUUGGGUCUCAAUAAAGUUUCUCUACCAAGAAAAUAGUAGAACCCUGACACAUUGAAAGAUAGGAAAUAAGCACACAAUUAUCUCUAUAUAUCUUCAGUCAAAGUCUUUGUUUGUUAUAUGUAAUGUUAAAAUUGGAAAGUUUGCAUGUUGUCGCUGAACUUUAGUGAAAUGAGGUUGAUACUUGAAUGCCGUUUUCUCCUUCCUAUUAUCACCAUCCAGGAGUCAACAACUCAAUUUCUAUUAUAUAUUUAUAGAUGUUUUAAUUAAACCCUGUAAAUAUUCAAGUUCACCCAACAAUAUAUUUUUUUUAAACACAUUUAAAUUCAAGUUUAACCCUAUUAAUAAAAUUUCAUAUAGAGAGGCUGCCCAAGACGACGUAAUUGAGAUUAACUUUGUUUUUUACAAUUUUGUUUGCCAUAAAUAAUUAAGACAUUAAUGUGCAAAACAUUUUUGUUGGUUGAACUUGGAGAUUUGCAGGGUUUAAAUAGAAAUCUAAUAUUCGUUAUCUUUAUCACUUGACUUGGCUGCUACUGAGAGUUUGAGAGGCCUUUGUAGGGGACUUUUUCUUCCGGCAGCCGUAAAUGGGCUGGGUUGCCGUAAAGGGCAGACUGCUGAAAUUGUCUCCUUUGUCUGAGUUCGAAAAUUAAGCCCCAAAAAUGCUUCGAAAGGGCAGCAGAGCUUUAUGAAGUAUUUUGGUUACCUUCACCAGCCAAAACAAUGGCAACUUACAGGUAAUUUUUGCAUGCUUACAGAUAAACUUUUGAGCUUGGCAUGAGAGGCAUGUGGCAUGGAAGCAAAAUCAACAUGAGUUUAGCAUUGAGGGGAAAUUUAGGCUUUCUUAGGGGGAAAAAGGGAAGUGUUAAGGUGAGAAAGGAGAGAUUUGUAGGAGAUUUGGCUAGGAAAAGAGAAAUGAAGAACAAUGCUCUUCCGGCAGCUUGACAGAUACUCUGUCUGCCAGAAGGGAAGAAUGGAGAAGAGGGUGAACAGUGCACGAGAUUGCUGGGUUUUUGCAAGUUAGAGAGAAAGCUUGCUCUCUGAAUCUGGGUUCCCUUUGUUAGGUAGGAGAAGCCUCAUUUUAUAGCCGCUGGAAACCACCGCUUCUCAAGAAAUCCUAAUGGCUUCUACCCAUUUUGAUGAAGCUUUUCCUCUUCUUUCUCAUCUCCCUCCUUGACUCUUCCUAUUUUGAUGAAAUCCCUUCUGUCUAUUUGCACCAGAUCAGAGUUUUUUUGAAGCUCAAGGCUCCCUUUUCCCGCAGCUGUCUCAAUGGCAGACUUCCAUUCCCAGCCAUCUCUUUUAUUGCUUUCUUCCUUUUUUUCCAUGGCCAAGUUUGAUGAGAAAAGGAGUUGGGAUAUAUAUGCUGGUUUGAAGGGUGUUUCUCUCUUUGGUAUCCUACACGCUAAUACCCCCUGGUUCCUUGGAUGUUUUGGCUUUGAAACUUGCUCCCUCCAUGUGCUGGAACCUCCCAGCAGCUCUGUUUAAUGAUCCUGCACACCUUCUCUAUGUGGCUUCUAUUUUUCCAGCAAAGGGUUGGGAUUUUUGUGGCUUAUUUUGGGGUUUUGUAUGGGCCAAGGACCUUCUCUACGUGGCUUCUAUUUUUCCAGCAAAGGGCUGAGAUUUUUUGGCUUAUUUUGGGGUUUUGUAUGGGCCAAGGACCUUCUCUACGUGGCUUCUAUUUUUCCAGCAAAGGGCUGAGAUUUUUGUGGCUUAUUUUGGGGUUUUGUAUGGGCCAAGGUGGUUCUUUAAGCAAGUGGGCUAUUUUUGUUAAACAUUGGGCUUUUUGGUUGUGUUAAUAGGCUAUUUUGCUUGGGCUAUUGGGCUAUUUUUCUCUCUUGUGCUCACCCACAUGUUUGGGCCUAAGAAAUGGGCUUGAGUCUUGAGGCUCCCAAGCAACCCGAGACCUUCCAUUUCUCGGCCCAUCAAUGGGCCUCAUGUUGAUUCAUUACCAUCCAUGCCACAACCUACUCAAGCAAGCCCUGGGCAUUUGAGUGGCUUGGGCCACUUAGGCUUGUAGUGUGGUUGGGUGUGAGAUAACGAUUUCGUGCUUGGCAUGACAUGUCGCUUGAUAUUUUUUAGUUAUGAUGCUUGGUGGGAUAAUUAGCAUGGAUUUGUAGAGCUAAUGCAUUUUAUAAUCUUAAUCUCGAUUCCUAGCAUGACGAAUUAUUUAUUUGGCAUGGCACAUGGAGUGUGACUUGUGCAUGGUGGGCUUUUGUGUGCUCCAAAUCGGUUCUUUUCUCAAUAAUAUAUCGUUUUAGGCCGAGAAUAUUUUCGGGCCCAACCGUGGAUUUUUUGGGCCUCAACAUUAGCCCCCUUAAUUAUUAGGGCCAUGGAUAAGUGCUGGAAUGGGCCGAAUAAUUAAUCCCAACCCAAAAUCAAAUUCAUAAGCUCCAGCAAUUAUUUGCGAUUUCCCAGAUACCAACUUCCUCCUUCUUCCUAUUUAUUAUUUCUUCCUUCUUUUCCUUCUUCUUUAUGCAUACCAGAGUAAACCUCUUUUUACCACUUUCCCCUUCUUUCUCUUUCCUUCCUCCAGCGAACUUAGAGUGAGAGAGAGAGAGAGAUCAGGCAACAACCACCCAUUUUCAGCCGCUGGAAGAGAGUUCGAGCCGAAUCCGACUCCGUCAUCCCCCUGUACGAAGAAACCCGCUUGCCAUUGUUGGAAGAGAUUGUCUCUGUGCAGAAUUUUCUUCCAAAAUUCCCAAUUCCUUCUUUCUUGGUGCAUCUGAAGCUAUCCUUUGAGGGAUUAACAAGGUAUGCCAUUUUCUCCUGCAAUUUCUUGAAUUUAUUGAGGGGUUUGUUGGGUUCUUCAUGCCCAUGGGUUUUGCUCUUUGUUUUGGCAGCCAAGCAUCCACUCUUUUUGACCCAUCCACCUUUUGUUGGAGUAAUCGUUAGCAAGGAAGGGGUUUGCAUCAAUUUUUGGGGGUUCUCCCAUUUUGAUUUCUUUCUUUUUGCAAGCUGCUGGAAAGGUGCUGAAAUUGAGAGGAAAAACCGCUGGUAUGGAUUGCUCCACUUUUCUUUUCUCCAUUUUUCUUCCCCCUUUUUAUCAUGUGGUGGCCCUUUUUUGAGCUGGUGAAAAGGAUAAACUUUGCAUUAUGCUUUUUUCUAUGUAGGUGUAUACGUUUCUGGCACAGGCAUGGGAAGGUGAGUGCUGGAAGCUUUGACGUUUUUGUUGCUGGAACAUUCGAAUCUUCCAGCCUUCUAACUUGUAUAUAUAUUUUUUUUGGCUUCUGUUUUAGUCUUUCAAUAAGUGACUCUGCCAAUUUGAGUAUUUGAGGAAUAAGGAUAGACUGGUGCUUGGCCUAGGCUUACUCCCCUUGUGAACAUAUGCUUGAUUAAUUGUAGAGUUUGUUCUUGGCCGUGAAAAGUAGAAGUUGACAGGACGCAUGUCUUGCAAUCCUUGAUUUUUGUUUUGAGAGAGAAUUUGCUUGGCAUGCUUGUUGAUUCACAAGAUGAGAACUUUGUUUGUCACGAACUUGGGUCAUAAAUUGCAUAUUUGCUUGAACUCCUUUUUUUAUUGAACUAUAUGCAUCACGAGUGUAUGCUUGUAACCGCAUAAUUAAUACACAGGGUUAGAGGCUAUUGAAAGCUUGAGGAAAGCACCAUUGGUUUUUUUUUUUUUUCAGAGCUUGGACAUGGAUAACUAUGUUUUUUUUUUUUUUUUUUUGGCUUUAUGGGGAUAGAUAUGAACAUGUGUAUGACGGGUCUGCAAGAAUGCCUUGUGACUCAUAGGGAUUUUGUUUCUUUUUUUGUUUUUUUGUUUCUAUGAAAAAGGUUAAUAUGAGGUAAAUAGUGUUUGUAACGCUUGCUUUGUGAAAAAGGGUCUGCUGGAAUGAUUGAUUGAGCAUGGAAUGAGAACUUUGCUUGUCAUGAGCUUGAGUAAUAGAUUGCAUGAUGCUUCGAAAAUAUUUUUGUUUAUGCAUUCCGCUUGGCGUGAUAUAGCUUGCUUGGCUUGGCUUGUGAAGUUCAUGUUGCUUGCACGCUAGUGUGGAAAUUACUUGGUUUUAACACAUAGAUGCUUUGCUCUUUUGCAGCAUAUUCUUUGUUGGCAAUUCUUGCGGGGAUUCACAUAAUAAGUCCCAAUGACCUUUGUGAUGAGUGAUGGCCUAUUUUCCCUUGCACGAUGGAUUGAAGAAGAGAUGCCUACCUUCAUCACUUAGAAACACUUGCCAAACACUGCAUGUUGCUCAUUUCUGAUAGUAUCCAACCUUCUAGUGAGUUGUGACUUAAAUCCAGGUUGGUCAAUUGAAAUAACUUCCCCAAAUCCAAUGGAAUUGCUUGAGCCAACUUGUUGUGGCUCAAAUUCAAGUAGUGUAAUCUAAACAAGUCUCCUACAAUGGUCGGAAUUGACUCAUUCAAUUUGUUUGUGGACAAGUCAAGAUAUUCGAGGCCACUCAAUGAUCCCAAGUUCGAGGGUAUAUGACCCGAAAGUUGAUUUCCAUUCAACAUCAGUUUGACCAAAGAAGUCAAUCUCCCGAAUUCCUUUGGAAUCAACCCAAAUAAACGAUUCGAAGAGAGAUCUAGCUCUUGAAUUUUUGUUGCUUUGGCUAUCUUAGGUGGUACGCUCCCAGUAAGGUUGUUUCCCGCAAGUCAUAGGGUUUUUAAUUGUGGGCAUUGUCCCCAUUUGAGUGAGAUCUCACCAUACAAGUUAUUGUGGCUUACAUCUAUAAAAUGAAGAUUUGGAUAAACACCAAAGUCUUGAGAUAUAUUGCUUGUCAAUUGGUUCCCAUGAAGACGGACUCUAAAUAAGCUCGUGCAGGUUUUUAAGUUUUGGGGAUUGGACCAGUCAAAUAGUUUUUGCUGGCUGAGAAGUUUGUGAGUUUUCCACCUUGACAAAUAUUUUGGGGCAAAUAACAAAAAAAUUGGUUUGUAUCCAAUUGCUAGUUAGUCAACUUUUUGAGAUUCUCUAUCUGUUGGGGGAUGAGGCCGGAAAGUUGGUUAUCCCGUAAGUGUAAGAAUUCAAAUAGUUUCUUAAGUCACCAAAUGUAGCAGGAAUUGAACCGUUUAGUUUAUUAAUGCUCAAUUCUAAAUCCACAAGGCUUUUCAAGUUGCCUGUCUCUUCGGGAAUAGAACCAAAAAGUUGAUUGUCAGACAAAGACAAAAUGUUUAAAUUAUUAUAAUCAUUUUUGAUCAAGGAAGUUUAAAUUAGAGUGCUACUAUUUACACCCCAUUGUCCUAUUUCCCCACCCAAGGAAGUUUAAAUUAGAGUGCUACUGUUUAAAUUAGAGUAAUAAUGAAACAAAAAUCCAUUGAUCAAUAUCUUCAAAACUAAAAACCCAUUAACCAAACCCAACAAACACGGAAAAACCCAAUUCUCAAAUCAAACUAAUAUCAUUUACCGAAUACUAUCAAUCAAAACCAUCAAAAAUCCAAAACCCCAUCUACAAAAUCGAUUCCUUCCCCCCAAAAAAAAGGUUAGAAAAAAGAAAAAUAUGUACUUAAAAAUUGAAAUUUUAAUGUUUUACUGAAAUGGAAAAACAAAAACCAACCAUCAUUCAAGAGAAACAUGUGAAGAAGCUCGCACUUGAAGGCAUCGAUCUUCCUCAUAUCUUCCCUCCAAUCGCUUAACAAAAUCGUCAAGCUUGGACAGCCUCUUGGACACAUUACGAUCACUGAAAACCUCCUUGAGGAAAUCACUAAUCGUUUUAGGGACAAAACUGGGUCUAAAGUCCAAUCUCAGUCUAGGAGGAACCGAACCCAUUUGAGAGAGAGCGAGAGAGAUGAAAACGAUAAUAAGAAGUAAGGACUUAGAAGUCAUUUUACAAGAAGCGUAAAUUUGUCUUCAAAAUUGUGAAGAUGAGGUGGGUGUGAAAAUAUGACAGGUGGGUGGAAAUAGUAGCACUCUUAAAUUAUUUAAGUUACUAAUAUUUGGAGGGAUGAGACCACUUAAAGUGUUGGAUGAUAACUCAAGAUCUACAAGAGACUUCAAGUUACCUAUAUCAUUGUGAAUAGUGCUAGAAAGUUUAUUACUAUAGAGAUUAAAAUAGGCAAGGCUUGUUAGAUCACCUAGUGAUUCUGGAAUUGAACCAUUAAGCUGAUUCUCAGACAAAUCUAGCUCCACAAGAGAUUUCAGGUUUCCUAUUUCAUAAGGAAUAUCCCCAAAAAAAUUAUUUUGAUAUAGAGCGAGAAUGGUAAGAUUUCUUAGGAGGCCGAUUUCUGGUGGGAUCCUCCCAGAAAAUUGAUUGUCAGAGAGGUCAAGAUAGAUAAGUUUGGAAAGGUAACUGAUUUGAGGUGGGAUGGUAUCAAAGAGUUUGUUCACGCUCAGGUUAAGUUGUUCAAGAUUAGGGAAGGAAAAGAAUGGAAAUUCAUGUAGCGUACCUUGUAUACCACAAGUGGAAAGGCUUAUCAUGCUGACACUUCCAGCUGCAUUGCAUGAAACACCCAUUGUAACAUCCCACAUUGACCAACGGAGAGUGAGUGAUGUGCCUUAUAUGUACAUGCCCGCCUCCAUUUAGCACGAAGCCUUUUGGGAGCUCACUGGCUUCGGAGUCGUAGGAACUCCGAAGUUAAGCGAGUUAGGGGCCAGAGCAAUCCCAAGAUGGGUGACCCACUGGGAAGUUGCUCGUGAGCUCCCAGAAACAAAACCGUGAGGGCAGAGAGGGGAGCCUAAAGCGGACAAUAUCGUGCUACGGCGGAGUUGAUCUCGGGAUGUGACAAUUUGGUAUUAGAGCCACUCUGCCGUGUGGUGCGAGUGUGCCGACGUGGACGUCGGGCCCCUAAGGGGGUGGAUUGUAACAUCCCGUAUCGACCAACGGAGAGUGGGUGAUGUGCCUUAUAUGUACAUGCCCGCCUCCAUUUAGCACGAUGCUUUUUGGGAGCUCACUAGCUUCGGAGUCGUAGGAACUUCGAAGUUAAGCGAGUUGGGGGCCAGAGUAAUCUCAGGAUGGGUGACCCACUGGGAAGUUGCUCGUGAGUUCCCAGAAACAAAACCGUGAGGGCAGAUAGGGGGGGCCCAAAGCGGACAAUAUCGUGCUACGGCGGAGUUGAUCCCGGGAUGUGACACCCAUGGGCUUGUUUUUGCUUUUGGAUUGCUGGAAGAAUUGGUGGUAUUAUGAGUGGGAGGGUACCAGGUGAGAUUAUUGAGGGCUUGAUUUUGAAAUAAGCUGGCUUUCCAUUUGGGAAAGAGCCUUUGCUACAGUAUCAGAAGCAAAAGCAACCCAAUUUGGUGAUGAAACAUACAAGAGGAUCACAAGGCAAUAAUAAGCAAGAAAGCAUACAUUACCACAAGUUAAGGAUCUCAUUGUUAUUUGUUGUUUGUGUACUAUACGUAUGCGCGCUGCCUUACUUAUAGGGCAGUGCAGAAGCUAUAUUUGACACAAGUAUUUCAUACACACUUGACUUGAGUGGAAGUCUCUGUCCCUUUUCUUUAAGGUUGGAAUUGCAACUUUUGCAUUUUCUCAAAGCAUGCUUAACUGAAAGUGCGCUUGCAGGACAGAGCAAAUGGUCCUAUCACGACUAGAACGAUCCAAGCAAAGCAUGCUUCUUGCUCUGAUUUAGUGGAAAAAUUAAUUCACUCUAGCUAUCCCCAAUAAAUAUGAAGAAGAAUAACUCGUCAUAGAACCAAUUCUACUCCACCACUACUAUUGAAGGUUUUCAUGUAUCUUCCUUAUUUUCUUGUACUCCACCACUUGUGCAUUGUACUCCAGUCCCAAAACUUGGCCUGUUGUCCCCUGAAUCUGCCUUCUAACUCGCGAUGACCAUCGAUCCCAAACAAGUGAGUUCUUGAUGACCAUUGGCACCAAACAAGAGCUUUUACAACUAUCUUUUUACUUACAUUUAACAUCUCUCUCACAAAGCCAAAGAAAAUUAUCGCUGACUUAUUUGCUUCAAUGUGGUAAUUUUACAAAGAAAUUUUGUGUGUUGUUCUUCUCUUUCCUCACAACGAAGAACAUUACUAGCUAGAAAGCAUCCUUAUUAAAGUUCGCGGCCAAACGCAGAAAUGGGCUCGAAAUAGAUUACAAGGCAACAUCUAAGAAUAAUUAGAAGAAGGCAGAAACAUAAUGAAAUACAUAAAAGAGGCACAUCCUGAUCAGGUAGUAAAACCAUCGAGAGCAAGCAAUUCACCGCAUGUUAUCAUGCGUAACGGCUUUGACAAAUGGAGCCUCUUAGUUGAGAGAUGUUGAGAAACUCGUUUCAUUAUGGGACGAGAUUGUGGACUGGGAUUCAAACAUGCAAACGCCAUCAUAACAAGAGAGACCAAUUCCCCUGCAACUUGAUGUGUUGGAGGGGAAAUGCGUUGGUCUAAAACAUCCACAAUUGGCAUCUGAUGGGCAGGUAAUCCAGAUGGUGAUGAUGUCGACGAAGAAGAUGAUGACAGAGAUGAGAUGAGAUCUCCUGGAUGCCUUCCAAUUAUCACUUCCAAUGCUACUACUCCAAAGCUAUAAACGUCUCAUUUCUCAUUUACUUCCAUUGUAUAAGCAAGCUCUUUAAAGAAGAAGUUCAUAGCAGGGACAUAACACUUCAAUGUAAGUUUACAAAAGCUAUAAUCAUGCCAAAAGAAGUAUAAUCCUGUCCUAACCAUGAAAAGCAUUGAUUGGCCAAAAAGGAAAAACAUAAGAAUAUAUAAAGAACAGAGACUAUCGUUACCUGGUGCCAUAUAUCCGUGUGCCAGCAAGGGCACUCCAAUUAGUUGAGUCUGGGUUCAAAAACUUAGCAGUGCCAAAGUCCGAAACAGAGGCCUCAUAUUCAGAAUCGAGCAAAAUGUUCUUGCUUGAUAUGUCACGAUGUACAACUGGUGGCAAGCAAUCGUGGUGCAUGUAAGACAGGGCAUGAGCUACACCUUUCACAAUAUUCACCCUUUUUCUCCACCCCAAUUCUUUAGCUUCUUCAUCUUUGCUCAACAUUGUGGCCAAGCUGCCCCUUUCUAGAUACUCAUAUACCAAAAAUGAGUGCCGUGCAUGUGAACAAAAACCAUAAAGCUUCACAAUGUUUCGGUGUCGCAUCUCAGUUAGUGCCCUUAUUUCAUUUAAGAAUUCCUUUUGAAAAUUGGUCGUGCCAUCCCACAGCAGAUGGAGUUUCUUCACUGCCACUACGUUGGCAUUUGAUAAAUUCGCUCUGUAGACGCUUCCAUGUCCUCCCUUCCCAAUGCAAUAUGUGGAAUCAAAAUCAUCUGUUGCCCUUAUGAUUUCCUCAUACAUUGUUUUUCCAUCAAAAUUUAAUAUUGAAAAGGAAAUUUCUUCUUGCAUGUUGUUUUCUUCUUUAUCAUGACGCUUCUUCCUUCUUUCCACCACAAACACAAUUGUAAAGAAAGCAGAUAGAAGAAAAACUGCAGCUAGAAAGGAGAAUAUGAUUUUGAGUACCCGUUUGUGGUCUUUUCUUGAGCCAUGCUUGCAGGGUGGGAAAGCUCCAACAUUCCCACACAAACCUAUGUUCCCUUUUAAUGCUUCCGGCGGAGCAUCUCGAAAUGCGCGGCUGUUGGGAAGGGGACCUUCCAAGUGAUUGUAGGAUAUGUCAACAUAUGACAAGCCGUGCAUGCCUUCAAAGCUCAUGGGAAUGAAACCAGAAAGAUUGUUGUGGGACAGAUUGAGCAUCUCCAGACUCUCCAUAGUGCUUAAUUCCGAUGGUAUCGUACCUUCAAGUGAGUUAUGACUUAAAUCCAAUUCGGACAGUUGAACUAACUUCCCCAACUGGAAAGGAAUUGCUUGACUGAACUUGUUGUUGCUCAAAUUCAAGUAGUGUAAUUUGGACAAGUCACCAAGAAUGCUUGGAAUUGGCUCAUUGAUUUUGUUUGUGGAGAUAUCAAGAUAUUCAAGAUCAGUUAAUGAUUCGAAUUCCGAAGGUAUACGACCCACAAGUUGAUUUCCAUUCAACAUCAACUUCACCAAUGAAGUCAGUCCCCCAAAUUCCUUCGGAAUCACCCCAACUAAAUGAUUUGAAGAAAGAUCAAGUUCAUGAAUUUGGGUUGCGUUGCCGAUGUCCGGUGGUAUGGUACUAGUAAGGUUGUUUUUGGCAAUUAGUAAGCUUCCUAAUUGUGGGCACUGUCCCCAGUUGCGUGACACUUCACCAUGCAAGUUGUUGUCGCUUAAAUCUAUAUAUUGAAGAUUCGGGUACACGCCAAAAUCUUCAGAUAUGUUUCCUGUGAAUUGGUUCCCAUCAAGACGGACUCACAAUAAGCUCAUGCAAGUUUUCAAUUUUUUGGGAAUUGGACCAAUGAAACUGUUGUUGUUCACUAGAAGCUUUGAAAGCCAUCUACGUUGGCAAAGGUUUUGAGGCAAAGAACCAACAAAUUGGUUAAACCCCAGCUCCAGUUCUUUCAACUUCUUUAGAUUUCCUAUCUCUUGGGGGAUCAACCCAGAAAGUUUAUUGUCACGCAGAAAUAAGGCUUCUAAGUUUUUUAAUUCACCCAAUGAAGUGGGAACUGAACCAUUGAGUUUAUUAAUGCUCAAAUCUAGCUCAGUAAGUGAUUUCAAGUACCCUAUCUCAUCAGGAAUAGUGCCAGAAAGAAAAUUGCUAGAGAUAUAGAGAAGGGUAAGAUUUUUCAUAUCACCGAUUGAUGUCGGGAUCGAACCAACCAUUUGAUUCUCUGACAAAGAUAGCUCCAAAAGAGAUUUCAGGUUCCCUAUCUCUUUAGGAAUAGUGCCAGAAAGAUUAUUAGUAGAGAGAUAGAGAUGAGUAAGGUUUGUUAGAUCACCUAAUGAUGUCGGGAUUGAACCAUCCAAUUGAUUAUCAUUCAAAGCUAGCUGCACAAGAGAUUUCAUGGUCCAUAUCUCUUUAGGAAUAGUUCCCGAAAGAGUAUUAUUAAAGAGAUAAAGAACGGUGAGGUCAGUCAAAUCUCCUAGAGAUGUUGGGAUUGAACCAUUGAAUUGAUUCCCUUUCAACUUUAGUUCUGUCAGAGAUUUCAGGUUCCCUAUCUCUUCAGGAAUAGUUCCAGAAAGAUUAUUGUUGCUGGCAUAGAAAACCAUAAGGUUUGUUAGAUCACCUAGUGAUGUCGGGAUUGAACCAUUGAGUUGAUUAUUGGUAAUUUCUAGAUCGAUGAGAGAAUUCAGAUUCCCUAUCUCUUUAGGUCCAGAAAGAUUAUUAUUACUUAGAUAGAGAAUGGUAAGGUCUACUAGAUCACAUAGGGAUGUGGGGAUUGAACCAUUGAGUUGAUUACCGCUAAUCCGCAAAUCAACAAGAGAUUUCAAAUUUCCCAUCUCAUUCGGAAUAUUAUCAGAAAUGUUAUUUAAAAAGAGACGGAGAAUGGUAAGAUUUCUUAGGAGACUGAUUUCUGGCGGGAUUCUCUCAGACAACUGAUUAGAAGAGAGAUCAAGAUAACUGAGUUUGGAGAGGAAACUGAUUUGAGGUGGGAUGGAACCAAAAAAAUUAUUCAUGCUGAGGUCAAGAUAUUCAAGAUAUUAAGUUGGUGGAAUUAUUACUGGGAGGGUAAGCCCAUGAGGACAGAUAUUUGUUGUGGGUUUGAUUUUGAAAGGUGGCUUUCCAUUUCAGAAGAGCCUUUGCCUCAUCAGUAGAAGUAGCAGAAGCUAAUUGAAGGAAAUUUGGUGAUGAAGAUGAAAGCAGCUGAACAUACAAGAGAAGGCAAUAAGCUAGAGAGCACAGUUUAUAACAAGUCAAAGAUUUCAUUGUUUCUUUAUAAGAUAUUGUUUGUGUAGAUGCAUAAUAUUAUAAUACUUCCGAGUCUUAAUUAUAGUGCCUACUCUCUUUUCAGAGUUCAAGACUUUGGAAAGGUCUUUCCAUUUUUAUUUUAUUUUUUCAUUUUCUUAAUUGGAAGAAGGUUUGGGGAGACAUUUGGGGUUUCACACCCUCGAGUCAAAGUCUUUGUGUUCUUUGGAAAUUUUGCAUUUUUGUGUUGGAAUUGAUUGAAAUGAUAUUGAUAGAAGUAAGAGCUUGAUUGGAUGUUAUUGGUGGAUCAUUGUAUGCUUGACAGAAGGCCAAAGAGACCUGGGAGUGGCUGUCACUUCACCUGGGUCGUUGUACAUAUUUCAAAGGAUAAUUGUAUGUUUAUCACAUUUUUCAUAUCAUAAUUAUACCACCUCUCUAAUAGAGGUGGAGUCACCAAUACAAUGGAGCCCACCUUUAUUAGAGAGGUGGUAUAAUUGUGGUAUGAAAAAUGUGGUAAGUUUAACAUUUUCGUAUUUUAUUUCAAAACAGAGAAUAAGUUUUACAGAAAAUGCGUUUGGAUAUUUAAGUGAUUUUACAACUUUCUACAUUCUAAAAGACUUUCAAGGAGUAAUGAGUAAAGAACAGUGAAGAGACUUUUGGCCAAAAAAAAAAAAAAACAAACUGAACAAUGAAGAGUUUUGGAUCAAGAAUCCAAACUCUCACAAACCCAAAGAAAACUCCCACCGACUUACUUCCUUCACUUUGGUUAAAUCAUGUAUUUGUUGUUUUAUUUUUGGGUUAUUCGUUUUAUUAGUUCUUGAAUUUAGACUCAAUUUGUAUUUGAGUCUCUCAAUUUCCAAAAUCGUUUUAAUAGUCCUUCAACUCUAAUUUUGUUCUAGUAGUUCUAAGUAUAAAAUAUUAGAACUCCCACACACUCUGAAAUAUAUCAUACAUGCCCAACUUGUCAAGUAAGUUACCAAACUUUCGACUACAUACUGCAUGAGUAAGAACAUCUGCAAGUUGUCCCUCUGACUCCACAAACGGUAUUGAUACAAUCUUCUUCUCAAGCUUCUCUUUGAUAAAAUGAUGAUCAACCUCUACAUGCUUCGUUCUAUCAUGCCGUACUGGGUUAUCAGCUAUGUCUCUUGCUGACUUGUUAUCACAAAACAACUUCAUGGUAUCCUUUGGUUUAAACCCAAGUCCCCAAAGAAGUUUUUGGAGCCAAAGGAUUUCACAGAUUCCUUGAGCCAUACCUCUAUAUUCGGCCUCAGCUCAAGACCGUGACACCACCUUCUGUUUUUUACUUCGCCAUGUCACCAAAUUCCCUCCAAUGAAGGUAAAAUAUCCAGAAGUAGAUCGUCUAUCAGUUACAUCACCUGCCCAAUCCGCAUCAAUAAACCCUUCAAUCCUCAAAUGCCCAUUUUUUCUAUACAAGACUCCUUUUCCAGGUGCGGACUUCAAGUAUACCAAGAUACGCAUAACAGCAGCCAUAUGAUCCACACUCGGUGAAUGCAUGAAUUGACUCACAACACUCACAGCAUAGGCAAUAUCAGGACGAGUAUGAGCCAAAUAAAUAAGUCUCCCUACAAGUCUCUGAUAUCUACCCUUAUCAACGACUUUCUACUCCGGAUCCAAACACAAAUGAUGCUUCUCAACAAUAGGAGUCUCUACCGGCUUACCUCCCAACAUACCAGUUUCUUUUAAUAAAUCCAAUACAUACUUAUGUUGAGACAAAAAGAUACCUUUUGGCGAGUGAGCAACUUCAACUCCCAAGAAAUACUUCAAAUCCCCUAAGUCUUUCAUCUCGAAUUUGACCUCGAGAUUUCCUUGCAACUUGGACAUCUCAUCAACAUCGUUUCCUGUUAUAAUCAUGUAAUCUACAUAGAUAAUCAAGGCUGUUACUUUAUUAUGUCUAUGCUUUUCACAAAUAAAGUGUGAUUAGAAUGACUCUGACAAUAUCCAUUCUUUCUCAUGACUUGAGUAAAUCUACCAAACCAUGCACGGGGUGAUUGCUUAAGUCCAUAGAGUGACUUACGCAACCGACAUACUCCGGUGUUUCCAUCAUUGCUAUAUCCAGGAGGAAAAUCCAUAUGCACUUCUUCCUACAAAUUCCCAUGGACAAAUGCAUUCUUCACAUCAAACUGUUUUAAUGGCCAAUCCAUGUUUGCAGCUAAAGAGAUAAGAACACGUACCGUAUUCAUCUUGGCAACCGGGGAGAAAGUCUCUUGGUAAUCUACCCCAUAUGUUUGGGUAUAUCCUUUAGCCACCAACCUUGCUUUGUAUCUGUCUACUAUUCCAUCAAUUUUAUAUUUAACUGUAAACACCCACCGGCAUCCCACUGUCUUCUUCCCAACAGGUAGCUUCAACCCUCCCAAGUAUUAUUUUUCUGCAAUGCCAACAUUUCCUCAUCAUUGCUUUUGCCCACUUUGGACCUUUUAGAGCUUUCUCCACUCGAGUUGGUACAUGGAUAGACUCCAUAUUACUUACCAAAGUCUGACGCUUUGGUGCAAGCUUAUUGCAUGAUACAUAGUUGGCUAUCGGAUACUUCACCUUUCCUUCAGGAGAAAACCUAUGAGGAGGCACACCUCGAUUUUGUCUUGGCGGCAAUUUAUAACCUACACUUGGAUUAGUUACACAAUCAUUUACGAUACUUACCUCAGGCAUAUUCAGAGAAGAUGUAUUGGGCGGCACUUCGGAACUAGAGAGAGAAGGCGUACUAGGCUCCGCAAUAAGGGGUAUACUGGGCUCCGCACAAGGCUGUUCAACAGCAGGGUUUUUCUGGAUAAUAGCUUGCCGAGACUCUCCUAGUAUGGGCUCAGUUCUAGGUUCUACACGUUGUUCAACAGUCACAUCUCCCCUAGAUCCAACCAACUCAGAUUACCAUCAGUGUUCUCCCCCUGGUGAUCUGAAGUUGAAGGUACGAAAGUGUAGAAAUAUUCUGUUUCAGAGAAAGUCACAUCCAUGGUUACAUACAUAAGUCGGGUCUCAGGAUGGUAACACUUAUACCCUUUUUGGUGAGACGAGAAACCCACAAAGACACACCGUAGUGCACACGAAUCCAAUUUACUACGAUGUAUUUUCUGAAUAUGAACAUAAGCCACACAACCAAACACUUGAGGAGUGAGAGUAUUACUGGAUACCACUGGAGUAUAUUGAGUGAGGAACUGAAUAGGUGUUUGAAAUCCAACCACCCAAGAGGGCAUACGAUUAAUGACAUACACGGCAUAAGUAACAGCUUCAGGCCAAAAACGUGGAGGAACCGAGGCCCCAAGGAGUAAGGCACGAGCUGUCUCCAAAAUAUGACGAUUUUUACACUAUGCAACCCCAUUUUGCUGUGGGGUAUGCAGACAUGUGGUUUCAUGGAGAAUCCCUUGACCACGGAGAAACUCCGACAACUCAAAAUUAAGGUAUUCUCCUCCAUUAUUAGAACGAAGAACUUUAAUAACAGAAGAAUAUUGCGUCUGAACCAUCUGAGCAAAUGACUGAAAUAUGGCACCAACAUCGCUUUUAUUUUUCAACAUAUAAAGCCAUGUCAUACGAGUGCAAUCAUCAACAAAUGUAACAAACCACCGAAGUCCAGAAGAAGUAACAACUGGAGAAGGCCCCCAAACUUCAGAAUGAACUAGAUCAAAUGCAAAAGGUCUUUUAUUCAUACUACGAGGAAACAAAGCACGAUGGCUUUUAGCAAGAAUACAUACUUCACAAUGUAAGUCUGAUUCAUUUAUUCCACUAAAUAAACGAGGCAGCAUACGCCUUAAAUAGCUAAAGGAUGCAUGGCCUAAUCGACGAUGCAAUAACCAUACUUCUUGUAAAUUACUACCAUGAAGCACUUGGACUGCAUAAGCUCUGCCAGGAACGACAUCAUCCACGUAGUACAACCCCUCUCUCUUAGUGCCACACCCAAUUAUUUCCUUGGUCUGAAUAUCUUGAAGUAGACAGAAGGACGGAUACAUUAGAACAACACAAUCCAAUUGUUCAAUAAUCUGUGGUAUGGAAAGUAAAUGAUGUGAUAAAGGUGGAACAAGCAAACAUCGGCGUAAAGGGAGAGAGGCUAUGAGAUACACAGUACCAGCACCAACAACAGUUGCACGGGUACCAUUAGCAGUUGCAAUAUAUUCCCUGUGAGAUGUUGUCAUAUAUUGAAACACAUUCUUAUCAUAUGUCAUAUGAUCUGUUGCACCAGAGUCCAGAAUCCAACCUGCAUGAUGCUCAGUGUCGGAGGCCAAAAAAACAUGCCCUACAGUACCUAUAGUGGAGGAUGAAUCACCAUGGGUAGAACGAGUCAACAAAGUUUGACUCGGGUUAUUGGAGAUAGUCUCAUCCUCCUUAGCUUUUGUUGGGUAAGUAGCCAGGGAUGCACGGCCUCCAUUAUUUCCCCCACUCCCACGCUCCUUUGCACGUAGCUUCUUCUUUAAUUAUGGGAACCAAUCAGGUAUGACGGGUUUGUCCACAGAAAGUGCACUUCAAAUCAUCUUUAUUUUCUCGAGUAAAGGGACGAGAAUUUAAAGACUGAUUAGAAGGAUUACUAGGACGAAAAGCAGUAGUAGGCUGAGAGACCAUGGCCAUGGACGGCAGCCCUCCUUGGUUGUUACUUCCACUCAUCAUGGUGGCAUGUCUUUGUGCUUCACGUCGAACAACAGAAAACACUUCCUCAACAGAUGGUAAGGGUUGAGUACGUAGAAUAUCACUACGUACUUUAUCAAAGAUAUCAUCCAAACCCGCCAAAAAGGCAUACUCCAAAAAGGCCAACCCUAUGGCUAGGGUUAUAGAAAUCGUGUGAUCAAUCCAACCAUCCGAUAGAGAACAAACUUUCGGGACAUGUAUCCUAAACUUGUUGGGACCUUUAGGGACUCCCGGAUUUGUGAUAGGUGGUAGUGGACCCCACGUAGGCCCCGUUGACCCAAUUUGGGAAGUCUGACCAUUUUGUGGGCUGAGAGUCUUCCGAGGUAGUUUAUCCUUCGAGAAAUAUUAGAAUGAUCUUAUACUUGAGGAUUGACUGUUAUGUUAAGUGUUUUGUCUAUGUUUGGUUUAUGAGUUUACAUUAUAAUGUUUUAUGUUGAUAUUGGAAGUUAUUUAUUUAUCGUGUUGAUUAUUAUCAUUGUAUCUGGUUGAGUAUUAUUGGAUGAUUUAAUGUUCUUGAGUUGCUAUGUAAUCGAAAUUACUUUUAAGGAUAUUAUAUUGUGUUCAGAAGUGAAGAGUUGGGAAUGAUUUGUAAAUCAGAUUUCGAAAGAAAUAAGAAAUUAAGUAAAUUUCCAAGUACAUGUUAUUAUAUAUAUAUAUGUGUAUAUAUUUUAAGUUUAGUUGAGAACCAAUUUAUUGAAAGUUAUAUACAUGACGGGUUAUGGUUUUCAAACCCACCACGAGGGUACCCCCCCAGUUGCCUUGAAACAGUUUGUUAUUUAUGAUAAUGCCCCACGAGUUUCGGGGAUGUCUGAACCGUGUGGUGCGAGGAUUGCGGCUCAGAUUGAAGUGUUAUCUCUGAGACCUGCGACGAAUGCGGCUCGAUUAACUUUGUGUUUUCGAGGCGUGCGAGGAUGGAAUUGACGGACUAGCAUUGGAAUUGACGGAUAUAUGGAAUUGACGGCAUAUUUGGAAUUGACGGUAUUAAAGGAAUUGACGGAUCAGGAAUUGGGGUAUGCCUAGGUGGAGAGAAUUUAAGUUCUGAGAUGCUUUUAAACUAAAUUGAGGAUUUUAUACAGUUACCAUUAUUUUCUUGAGCGUUACAAUUGUUUUACAAGCGAUAGAUGGAAAUAUAUAUAGAUUCUAAUCAAGUUUUUGAUGUAUAUAAAUAUAUAUUUAUUUAUUUAUGAACUUUACGUGAGUUCGAUACAAGGGUGUUCGAAGCUUAUAAAUCUUUAGCUUAUUUUAUUUUAUUUUAUUAUGUUCAUUUAUCUUUAUCUUGCAUUAUUUUAUAUAGUAUUAAAUAUCUCAAGUUUUUCUAGCAUAUUUUGCCCCACGAGUCUUAGAGUUAUCCGGACUGUGGGAGCGAGGAUUGCGGACCAUGUUGACUAGAUGUCUCCUGAGUCCAGCGAGAAUUACAGGUCAGGACGUGUCACCAUUGGUGUCACAAGGAAUUGAUGAUUAUGGCUUUCCAAGCAUGGUUACGUGAUAUAAAUGCUUUUAUUUCUUGUUUGAUUAUAUAUUGCCAUGUGAGAAAUGCCAAGAAGCUUGAAAUGGAAAGCUGAGAUGAAAUUUGAGAACUAGAGUGGUUUUGCAAUUAAAGAACUACGUGUGGUUUGAUCCCUCAGUAAGGGUACGUAGGCAACCUAUGGUUACAAGGUGCAGCCACGAGAUAGAAUGUUUGAGAUUUCCAAUGCAUUAUUGUUGUUCUGAAAGUUGAGAUGAAUUUUAUUAGCAUAUUGAUUUAUUUGAUUUAUUGCGACUUGAGACCAGAAUAUUUUGAUGCUUAAUUUGCUUGGAUAUAAUUGAAUGCAUGUUGAACGAUUGAGUUAUAUAAAUGUUUGAUGACAAGUGGAAAUUUUGGGAAAUGAGUAAAUUACAAGGGAAAUUUUGCCGAAUUUUCGGCAGAAGAUAAUCUUAUUUUAAAAGUGGAUUUAUAGUUAGAAGGGCAGUUUGGUCUUUGUGCCCGGCAUUAGCCAGGUGUCAAACACUCAUAGGGUUCGGCUCGGAUUCUAAAGUGGAAUUUGGGUCGGGUCCUGUCACUUUAUCACUUGACUUGGCUGCUACUGAGAGUUUGAGAGGCCUUAAAAUGAGCGUGUUCAUCGGUUUUAACUAAGAAUUGACAGGACAACUUAUUAAAGAAGCCAUUCAACUUAAUGCACAUGACUUGGAAAACUAAUUCGAUUCUGUUUGUUUUUUAGUAUACACAACUUUCUCAUAGACUUUUCUCUUAUCAAGGGUUCCUUGACUUUGAUGUUUUUGGGAGAAAAAUAUAUUAGAAUUACUGAAAUGAAAUUGAUGGAAAGUGAGAGGCUACUAUUUGCGUGACAUAGGGGUUCAGAAGUGUCCCACCUGAAUGCUAGACACUAUGUCACAUGGUAUAUCGUAGGCAACAAGCUUUAACAAAUGCAGCCUCUUCGAAUAGAAAGAUAUUGAGAAGGGUUUUUGUCAUGAAUGGUCCUUGAAUUUUUCAAAAGUCAUUAUUUGAAUUCUUAAACUUUCCAAUCAAUCAAUGUGAUCAUUAACCCUCUGUUUGGAUGAAGAAAUUGAAACCCUGAAAAACAAAGGAAAACUUUUUACAUAUGUUGCUCAACAAGGCUGUGUACUCUCCUAGAUGAAACCUAAAUGUGAAACCCUGAAUGGAAAGCAGAUGAUUUUGUUGAGCACAAAUUUGAGUUCUAGCACUAAAUUGAGCUAUAUUUUGUUGAAAUAAGUUGGUGAGAUUAUUGAGGGCUUGAUUUUGAAAGACUUUGGAAAGGUCUUUCCAUUUUAUUUUAUUUUAUUUUUUCAUUUUCUUAAUUGGAAGACGGUUUGGGUUCACACCCUUGAGUCAAAGUCUUCUUCUCUUUGGAAAAUUUUGCAUUUUUGUGUUGGAACUGAAUGCAAUGAAAUUGAUAGAAGUAAAAGCUUGAUUGGAUGUUAUUGGUGGAUCAUUGUAUGCUUGACAGAAGGCCAAAGAGACCUGGGAGUGGCUGUCACUUCACCUGGGUCGUUGUACAUAUUUCAAAACAGAGAAUAAGUUUUACAGAAAAUGGGUUUGGAUAUUUAAGUGAUUUUACAACUUUCUGCAUUCUAAAAAACUUUCAAGGAGUAAUGAGUAAAGAACAGUGAAGAGUCUUUUGGCCGAAAAAAAAAAAAAAAAACCUGAACAAUGAAGAGUUUUGGUUCAAGAACCCAAACUCUCACAAAGCCAAAGAAAACUCCCACCGACUUACUUCCUUCACUUUGGUUAAAUUAUGUAUUUGUUGUUUCAUUUUUUUCUUUCCCUCUCACAAGGAAAAACAUUUCUAAGUCACAAAGCACCUUUGUUAAAAGUAUGAGCCACGACACAAGUGGGCAUAUGAUAGAGUACAGAUAGUCCCAUAUCGGAUACUUAACAAAAUAGAAAGUCUCAUAUAAUAAAUAAUUUCACUCCUAAUAACAUCGAUGCCUUUGUUUUUUAUUUUUUUUGUUUUUGGGUAAAUACCACGAGGUGUCCCUACACCCAAAGGGUGGGAUUAAUCCCCACUUGAGAUUCGGCUUGCCCCUGGCCACAAAGUGCUUCCAACGGGUGGUUAAAACCACACACCUACUUAGCAUAUGAUUAAGUUGAGGACAAUAUUGAUGUUGUCAGUAGUGGUUCAUGUUCUUGAUUGAUAUGUCCCGAAAUACAUUUUGGUCUAACUUCCUAUUCCAUUUCAUUGGCUGCUCAUCUCCAAGUCAAAAAUACUUGACACGUGUUCAUAAGUAUAACUAUGGUUAUAUAAAUCAAAGUAAAAAGUUAACUAUGUGUAUGCUUAUGGACAUGUGUCAAGUAUUGAGAAGGGUAGUGAGCAUACACCUUGAGUUAAAGUGGUGAGCAAAAAUGCUUCUGACAUAAUUGAGGUUAAAUUUGUUUCCUACAAUUUUGUUUGCCAUAAAUAAUUAAGACAUUAAUGUGCAAAACAUUUUUGGUUGGUUGAACUUGGAUAUUUGUAGGGGUUUUUUUUAGUAUGUGAAAUCACUUUGGUUCACGGAAUGAAUUUGAGGGGAAAUAUCUUCCCAUGUCAUUUCUCAAAGGAUGGGAAAUGGAGAUUCCUUUCCCAUGUUUGGUAAUCCUGAGAAAGUAACCAAGAAAUACUACUUUAUUUCCUUUCACAUGUUUGGUUUGUGUAGAAAUGAAAAACAAAGUUUGUUUAAUUUUUCAAUUAUACCCAUACGAAAUCAAAUUAAAAAGAAUGCAUUUAAUGCUAUAUUAUAAUUCUAAAUUGUUAAUGGGGACAAUAUGGUCAUGAAAAAUGUGUAUUUAAUCUUGGCUCAUUUUCCCAAACUUUCCCAUGAGGAGGAAAACAAAACCCAAGGCCCCGUUUGGUUCAUGGGAAAGGAGACUUGGGGAUGGGAAACCAAUUGUUUUCCUAUGUUCAGACAUGAGAAAUUGUUUCCUGGCCCAUGGGAAAGUAGGGGGGAAAGUGAAGCCAUCCUCCCAACUUGGGUUUUGUUUUCCCUCCUCAUGGGAAAGUUUGGGAAAAUAAGCCAAUAUUAAAUAAAUAUUUUUCAUGACAAUUUUGUCUCCAUUAACAAUUUAGAAUUACAAUAAAUCAUUAAAUGCAUUUUUUUUUAAAUUUGAUUUAAUAUGGGCAUAAGUGAAAAUUUAUACAAACUUUGUUUUCCAUUCCUACUUAAAACAAACAUGGAAAAUGAAAUAAAGUGAUAUUUCUUGGUUACUUUUCCAGCAUUACCAAACGUAGGAAAUGAAUAGUCCAUUUCCCAUCCCUUGGAAAAUGACAUGAGAAAUGAUUUCCCCUCAAAUUCAUUUUGUGAACCAAACGGGGCCAAAGGGGGAGGAGGGCUUCACUUUCCCCCUACUUUCCCAUGUGCAAGCUAACGAUUUCCCAUGCUUAGACUUACCAAACAUGGGAAACCCAAGCCUCCUUUCCCAUGAACCAAACAGGGCCUAGGGGAUGAGGGUUUCUCACACACACAAAAAACCAAGAUGCCAUGGGGGUUCGAACUUGAAACCUUUGGUAUGCAAGUCAAUGCCCUUUUCCACUAGACUAGACCUCAUUGGCUGCAUGGUUUAAAUAGAAAAACCUCUAUAUUAGUUGCCUUUGGCUAUUGCAUAAUGAAUAGAUGAAGAAGACUAAGCUAUCCUUGACUUGGCUGCUAUGUACUAAGAGAGUUUGAGAGGUCUUAAAAUGAGCAUGUGCAAUGGUUUUUAAACAAGAUAACUUAUUAAAUGAAUCAUUCAACUCGAUUAAUGCAUACAUGACUAAAAAACUAAUUCUAUUCUGUUCGUUUUUUAGUAUGUACAGCUUUCUCAUAGACUUUUCCUUGAUCAAGGGUACCUCGACUGUGAUGUUUUUGGGAGAAAAAAAUAUUGGAAUUACUGAAUUGAAAUUAAUGGAAAGUGAAAGGUUACUAUUUGCGUGACAUAAGGCUCCCUUCAUAUGAAUAUGAGGAAGAUUCUUUCUUAAGUCUUGACAUAGAUUUAUUUGUUUAUUCUUUUGCAAAGUAGGCCAAUGGAAAAACAUAGAAAUAUUUGUUACAUUUUUUUCCCCUCCCAGAAGGAAAAACAUUUCUAAGUCCGAAGCACCUUUGUUAAAGUAUGCGCCUGGGCAUAAGAUAGAUUACAAAUUUAAUUACAAUAACGCAACAGAUUUAAUAAGUCGAAGAACGCAGACAUAAACUGAAAUAUAGAAAAACUUAGCAGUGCCAAAGUCCAAAGCACAUGCCUCAAAUUCAGAAUCCAGCAAAUUGUUCUUGCUUGAUAUGUCCCGGUGUACAUACAGAUCACGAGCCUUCUUCCACCAAAAGCUAUGGCAGAUCCAAAAUUUGAUUUUCUAUGUUAUUUUGAUUUUGGGCUAUCAAGGAAAAACGUCAAGUUAUAUAUUGAACCAACUAUCCAAACUUCAACCAAGUUUUUCUUUUGAAACUAAACUUGGAUGAAGUUUAUAAGUAUAAAAAAGGGAAUUAAACUCAUGUCACUUGAAUUUUUUGUCGCGUGUCAAUGUGUCCCUCCAAAAACAAUAUUGAUUCAUCACAAUAAUUGCCCUCUAAGUUAUGAUUUUGUUGCAGUUUGGGUGUUCUUUUACAUCAAAACAUAGCACCAUGACUGAAUUUUUAACGAAAUGUUUGACAGGGUUGGACUAAUUGCAAGAUUGCAAUAACAUAUUCAUAAUACUUUAGGUGGCAACAUGACACAUACAUACAUAACUACAUACAUAAAAGGAAAAGCAUUUCUAUAUACCAGUAACCCUUAUUAAAGCUGAGCCUAAAGAUAGAAUGAAGCAAAAUACAAAUAAGCCAAACAUCUAAGAAGAAUAAGAACAAGGCAGACCAAAUACAGAAAAGCAGCGUACAUGUCCUGAUCAGGUAGUGAAUCCAUCAAGAGCAAACAAUUCACCACAUGUUGUCAUAUGUAAUGGUUUUGACAAAUGCAGCCUCUGAGUUGAUGAGAGGAGCUGAGAAACUUUCUUCAUUGUUGGACGAGACUGCGGACUGGGAUUCAAUGAUGCAAAUGCCAUCUUCACAAUAGAGACCACCUCCCUUGCUUCUUGAUUUGUAGGCGGGGAGAUGCGUUGGUCCAGAACAUCCGAAAUUGGCAUUUCAUAAAAAGGUGAUGCAGGUGAGGACGAGGAUGACGCUCCAGAUGAUAAAGAUGAGAAAACAUCUCCUGGAUGGCAUCCCAUAAUUAUUUCCAGUGUGACAACUCCAAAGCUAUAAACAUCGCACUUCUCGUUCACUUCCAUUGUAUAUGCAAGCUCUGCUAAUAAAAAGCACAUAAAAGAAAUUGUAUUAUGAAUAAAUUGUACAAAACACUGAGAUUUCAGUGUUCAAAACAUUGCCUAUGAGAAAAAGGACAGAAGGGAAGUGACUAUUUUCCAAUCUAAUUCAAGGAAAUUCAGUUCUUUUUGAAAACUAAUAAGAAUGGCAUACCCAAAGGAAUUUAGUUAAAGCUGGAUAAUGAAAAAGAAAAGCAACAAUUAAAUUAAAAAAGUUUUGAUCACCAUUCACCACAAAAAUAUCUAAUUGUUAUAUUUUUUUUUAAAAUCAAACAAGUGAGAAAACUGAAGCAUUGGUCUAAAAACAAAAGCUUAAAAGGGUUAAAUACAUAGAACAGAGAAUAACAACAUCACCUGGUGCCAUGUAGCCAUAUGUGCCUGCAGCGGCAGUCCAAUUAGUUGAGUUUGGAUUUAAAUACUUAGCAGUGCCAAAGUCUGAAACACAAGCCUCAUAUUCAGAAUCCAACAAAAUGUUCUUGCUUGAGAUGUCACGAUGUACAAUCGGUGGCAAGCAAUCGUGGUGCAUGUAAGACAAGGCAUGAGCUAAGCCUUUAACAAUAUUCACCCUUUUACUCCACCCCAACUCUUUAGCUUCUUCAUCUUUGCUCAACAUUGUGGCCAAGCUACCUCUUUCAAGAUACUCAUACUGUUGAACGGAAAAUUUUCACAAAAGCAUUUAGCCAAGAAUUUGACUUGGUUUAGAAUUGAAUUUGUUUUGUCCCUGCAACCUUAUCAAGAAAAAAAAUAUAAAAAUAAAAUAGAUGUAUUUCGGUGGUUUUGAAACACCAAGAGAUAAGUAUCUCAGUUAAGAAGUGGUCAUAGGCUUGAAUUCAAACUCAUCAUAAGAUAGCCUCUAUAAGAGGCAUGACACGAAGAAAAAAACGGGGGACGGAAAGGAAGGCAGAGAAGAGAACGGUGGGAGGAGAGAAAAAGAAAAAGGAAGGCAGAGAAGAGCCAUUUCAAGGUAAAAAUACUAGUUUCAUGGCACAAUUUUCUGAUCUUUGCUCAAGAUUUCAGGUUCUGUUCAACUCAAGAGUUCCUGCCCAUGAUGAUUUCUAUCAUCAUAAAAAGGGUCAGUAAUCUCUCCAAGGAUCAAACACCUCCAGGACAUCCAGCUAUGGAUUGACAGUCAAGAUGAUUGUAGUCAUCAUGAGGUCAAGUCCUGAUAUGCUCCGAGGUGCAGCUCCGCUCUGACGCUUCCAGGAUGUGCUCAACAUCCAACUCACAAGCACUCUGUAAGGAUGGCUUAUCAUGAUGGGCUAACCAUCACAAAACCAAAUCUGGUGGCUUUGCAAGGAAAGCACGAACUGAGGUUUUGACAUGGGUUGUGCCGCAGAGAGAUAGCAGACAGAGAAAAGGAAGAAAAAGUUAACGAAGGCAUUCACUCAAAUACCCAGUCAUGGUACCGACUGCCUUUUGUCCUCCAAUGACAACAAGACAAGUUAAUUGUCUUUUAAAUGAAAGCUGCAUACAUAUCUGCAGUGGGAAAAAAUUUUAUCUGCUGUUUGCACAUUAACAGAAAAAGCCUGCGAAAGUGAACUCACCAUGUGCAAAGCAAGAGGUUUCUUUUUGUGCUCUUUGUAUGUAGCUGGCGAUGAGCAAGGAGAAACAAAGUGGAACUCCACUUCCUGCCAAUUAUCUCUUUGGUUAUUAACCUUGGGAUGUUACAGCAAAAGACAACAAGGGGCUUUGGUUCUUUUGGCUCCACGUCACUUGCAAAGGAAAAUCCUAAAGUCACCCAAUUGACAAGAAUGUCUUUUGUUGCUGUUGCUUUUGCUGCCUAUGCAAAAGCUAUGUUAGUUCAAUGGAAAACAUAAAUGAAUAAAGCCUGCGAAGGUGAGCCCCUCCACGUGAAAGCUAAAGAAUAAAAUCAGCCAUGCUGAAAAAGCAAAACAAAAUGAAGAGUUAAGUGUGGUGGUGAACCCACCACUUGCGAAUUCAAAGGAAGAGGACUUCUUCCUCUUUGAGUUGCAGCAGAGUAAAAAAAAAAAAAAAGAAGUCUUGGACUUCACGGACCUGCAUGUCCAAAGUGAAUCCAAGAUUAUGAAAAAGGGAUGGGCUGCAACUCUACAUACAGCAAAACAAGGAAUUUGAAUUAUGAGUCCAAAUUCUAUUGCAUGAAGCUUAUGAUAAAAAAAAAUGGUGUUGCUGUGGGGCUGGCGCAGUACAACACGUUUCUCAAGACCAAUUCAAGAUGGCUGGGUCUCUCUACGAUGCCUUCAAGCAUCCAAAUGCCAAGCAAGAUUGUCAUGAUGAUUCCAAUCAUCAUGUGGCUAUGCUGCUCAAAUGCUCCCAUCCCAGGAUACCUUUAGCAAUACAUGGCAACAACAACGAAAGGACAAUAAAAUGUGGUUGAGCAAAUUGGUUUUCAUUGAUAAUCUGAGUAAGUAAACUUGCUGAAGAUACUAGUGGCUGCACAUGCAAGAUUUUAGUGACGCAUAAAGCAUAAAAGCUAAAGGAAAAACAGAAGUGCCUCACGCUUUGCUUACAAGUCCACUUAAAAAGGACCAAUGAUUUGCUCCAAGUUUUAUCCUCAACUGUCAUUGUGCAAGUCCUACUUGGACCAAGACUCAUGAAGUCUUUCAAGUCCCUCACAUCACUUUUGGUGACUGCAACAAAUGAAAACAAAGUGUCAGCAAAGGUUCACAAGAACUAAAUCAAUUGACGGUCAAGAAGGCUCAAUAAAAUGCUUACGUCAUUCGGGUCUAUCUGCCUCAAUCCUCCAAUGCGAGAUGGCUACCAAACAUGCCCACAAAAUCUCAACAAGAAAUAUGGGAAUCAACCACUGUGGCAAAGAAGCUAUUCAAAAAGGAGUGCCAAGCGACUCAACCAUACUGUGUCCACGACUUCAUUCCAAACAAAUGAUUGGUCGUGCUACGAGCAUUGAGCUCACUCUCAAAAGAUACCAAAGGAGCAUCAAUAUGGAUUAACAGGCUUGUCAAUCAAAAAAGCCCAUUAAUCUCAAAUCCUCCAAAUCAUGCAUGGAUACAAAUGCAAAUGUCAAUUGUAGAGAAUUAAUGGGUUCAUCAAAAUUGCUCAUUAUUAUUCUUGGACAUUGACAAAAAGAAAAAUGGUAUAAAACCAUCCAAUUUUCUCCAUGGGUCAUCUACCCAUGCAAAUUCCAAAUGAGAUUAAAUUCAAAUAUCUCAAACACAAAUUCUUAAUUAGUGGGCUACACUUACCCGUUAAUUUCCAAUUUUUUCCAUAGGUCAUCUACCUAUGAAAAUCUCCAAAUUGUCCCAAAGACACAAAUUCUCAAUUAGUGGGCCACAGUUACCCAUUAACUUCCAAAUUUGGAACUACGUCGGUUUGAUCCCGUCAAGGGUACGUAGGCAGUCUAACAUCCCAAUAGACACAACCGCAAUCAAGUAUAAAUCUCUAGUUUAUCUUAACCAGAUUUUGCCAAAGCACUUUCCCAAGUGCAAUUGUCAAUUUGUUUAGGGAAAAUUAAUGGGAUAAUCAAAAUUACUCAUUAUUUUUCUUGGACAUUGACAAUCAGAAAAGUGGUACAAAACCAUUCAAUUUUUCAUGGGUCAUCUACCCAUACAAAUUUCAAUGAGAUUAAAUUCAAAUCUCUCAAAUUCAAGUUCUCAAUUAGUGGGCUACACUUACCCAUUAAUUUCCAAUGUUUCCCAUGGGUCAUCUACCCAUGCAAAUUUCAUUGAGAUUAAUUCUAAAUCUCUCAAAUACAAAUUCUUAAUUAGUGGGCCACAUUUAUCCAUUAAUUUCCAAUUUUUCCCAUAGGUCAUCUACCUAUGGAAAUCCCCAAACGCAAUUGUCAAUGUUUAGGAAAAGUUAAUGGGAUAAUUAAAAUUACUCAUUAUUUUUCUUGGACAUGGACAAGAACGAAAGUGGUACAAAACCAUCCAAUUUUCCAUGGGUCAUCUACCCAUGAAAAUUCAAAUGAGAUUAAAUUCAAAUUUCUCAAACACAAAUUCUCAAUUAGUGGGCCACACUUACCCAUUAAUUCCCAAAUUCCGAACUACGUUGGUUUGAUCCCUUUGAAAGGGUACGUAGGCAAUCUAGAGAUUCAGUCUAGAUGCAACCAUCCCAAAUGCAAUCCCAUAUCGAAUCCCUGGUUUAUUCAGCUAAAUUCACUCAAUACAAUUCAAAUCAAAUUUCCCUCGCAAUGAGUCAUUUAUUCAUUGCGAUUCUUUGAACUACGAGUGGCUUGAUUCCCGCAAGGGAUACGUAGGCAUCCUGAGGUUGGACUUGGGAGCAGUUGCAAAAUCAAACACACACGUUCUGUUUCUUUAUGAUGGAAUCAAAGGGUGUUUCCUUGAAGCAAGGGAUUGUAAUUAAGAGACUUGCGUCUCGAAUGGGUCGAACCUAAAAUAAUAAAACCCCGUUAUUUAAUUAGUGGUGGUGAAAUUAUAUUAGGAGGAUCACAUUUUCCUUCAACAUAAUUUUUGGCACGCCCGGUGGGAUCCAUUUACCUUUUCAUCUCCAAUCAUAAAGUGACUAAUGUUUUUAUUUUUGUGUAUGCCACAGGUUAACAAAACCAUAUUCGAUGGCACCACAAGUUACAAUUUUCUUCCACAAGAUCGAAGCUACCUGGAAUGCGUGCACCAAACGAGUGGGGUUCAAAAAGACUUUCGUUGUUGGUGAGAGCCUCAUCAAGUGCGCCGUUCCAAAGCCCAUUCAGAGGGUCAAGCCUCAGGUCACUCCUAAGGUUGUCAAGACCCAAUUGAAGAAAGCACCUUCCAAGAACGCUCUCCGAAAUGCAAGAAAGAGGGCUGCGCGUGCUUUAAGAAAGAAAGAAGCAAAGAGGAAGUCUAUUGAGGCAGUUUUGGCCGAGCUUUCGGGGACAAGCCCAUUUGUGACUGAAGGCAAGAACACCUCGAGCACCCUGGCCGUGCCGACUUCCAAGAGGACAAAUGCUACCCAAUUGGUCCAAAUCAUGAUUGGAUCAAUCCCGGUCGACCUAUAUCCUACAGAUUCUGUUCUGACGACUUCCACCAAUGAAACUAGUGAGGAAGGUCAAAAGGACGACUCUGUGGAGCACGCUGAGGUCCAAGGGGCCGAACCUCCGUCAAGUCCAAAAACCCACGCUGUGGAAUCCACAUCACAAGAGGUUUACCCGUGCUCUUCUAAGGGUAAAAACAAAGCCGUCAUCAUGGAGAAGAAGGUGGUGAAUAUACCUCAUCCACAAAGAAGGCGUAUGCAAAAGGUGACGACAACUGAUGCUUCAAGGGAUCAAAAUCCCGUAUCACAAGGGGGAGUCCCGAAAUCUCAAGAGCUGUCAAGGUCCUACAUGGGUCCAUUGACUCGUUCCAAAUCCCGAGACAUGAUGGGGAUGACUAUUCCCGAGUUAUCUGCUCCAAACUCAACCCGUUUGGACGAUUAUUUGCAAUGGAAUCCUCUUUAUGAUGAUCCCGUAUCUCAAGAUCAAGAGAAUGAUUGUGUAGUAUCCCAAGGGGCCAAACUUCAUGACGAGGUGGAAAGCAUGCAAGUCAUGAUGACUGGUACUUCUAAUACUGAGGACCAGUUGCCCUUAAUCCAAGAGAUGAUGCAAGACUUGCGAAGGGAAAUGCAGCAGAAGUUAGCAGAGAAAGACGCGGAAAUAGCGUUACUAUCAGCUAAGUUAAAAGGGAAAGCCGUCAUAGGAGAGCAAGACAGGGGCAAAACAAAUGAAUCAAUGACCCAUGAACAACAAACAAAAGAGGAAAAAGCAGAGAGCUCUACAAGCACAAUUUCCCCAAACGACAUGAAGGCAUUAAUUGCUGAGGGGAUUCGUGAGUUCCAAUUGUCCAUAGCGCUUCCUGUUCAAGGGUAUCGAAAACCCUUUCCUUCUCACUAUGACGCCAUACCAUUCCCGAAGGGUUAUCAACGGCCCAUAUUUGAUAAAUUUGAUGGCAUAAAUAGCUCACCCCAUGAACAUCUGGCAUAUUUUUACUCAGCAUGUGGCGAGACAUCUCAGUCAGAUGCUCUCCUGGUGCGUCAAUUUGUCCAAUCCCUAAAAGGAUCAGCUUUCACUUGGUAUACACAGCUACCGCCAGGCUCUAUCUUGACGUGGGACGACAUGCAAAAAGCAUUUUUGGCACAAUUUGUCAGUUCUAAAAAGAAGGUCUCGAUCAUGGACCUAGCUCAAACUGCCCAAAAGCCAGGGGAAAGUGCUAAUGACUUUAUUAUGAGAUGGAGGAGUCUCAAUCUUCAAUGCCCCGAGAAAAUUACUGAGCUAUCAGCAGUGCAAAUGUGCUACAAUAACCUCAUGCCAGACAUUGCGACUUUUGUCGCCACUGCUGAACCCCAAUCAUUUGACGCUUUGGUGUCAAAGGCGAGCAAUGUUGAAAGACAAAUUGCUCGCCAAAAGUCCGCGUCCCAAAAAAUUCAAUUUGGGGAAAAGAAAAAUGACAAGAAGUCCAUGAAAGGAGAGUCGUUGGCCACUUUCGUCAAAACUGAAAAGAAAAAUGACAAAGGCCAAAACAAAGACCCACCUAAAAGGCUCACUCUUAAAGAACGCAAAGAGGUCAAAUAUUCUUUUGAUGAUGAUGAUGUAGAAGCAAUCUUUGACCAACUUCUGGCCUCCAAUGCUAUUGCUCUGCCAGAAUCAAAACGUCCUGCUGAGGCCAACAAGAUAAAUAACCCUAGGUAUUGUCGAUAUCAUCGCCUUGUCAGUCAUACGCUCAAGGAUUGUUAUAUCCUGAAGGACAAAAUCCAAGAGCUCCUCAACAAUGGCGGCUUGGAGAUAGACUCCUCUUCCCGACAUCAUUCAGCUACGGCAAAUAUGAUAGAAGAAAAGCUCACACCCAUCACCGCAUUACUAGAUGGAGCGAAAAUUGCAGGUAUUAAUACCGACCAUCGGGGUACAAUCGUACAUGCUUGUCCGAAGGCACCAUGGUCUAAUGAUCUUCAAAUUCCUACUCUUCAUGAGCUUGUGGCUGCACCCAGUCUAGAAAUGUGGGAAGACUCUUCAACCGACGAAUUUGCUGAGGGGUGGACGACAUUUGUUAAAAGGGCCAAGCACAUGGCUAAAUAUCUCCCACCCAAUCACAGAUUUACGACUCGUCCGGGUGUCAAGAUUCGAGGCAUGCCACCCUUGAAAAAUAAGAGGAGGAAGAAGAAAGUGCAAAAGAAAGUUCAAAUCACCCAAGAAGAUGAAUAUGAGCAACCCGCAAGGGUCCCUGUCACACUCACUGAGUUUUUGCCAAUUGAGUUUUUCUCGAGUGAAUCUGAAGUUGAGGAAGAAAUCAUUCAAUGCAACAUGGUUUCUUUGGAGGAAUAUGAGGUCGACACAGAAGUUGAUGAGAUUAAUCUCCGCUCCGGUCGAAGCAUCCCAUCUGCUGAUAAAGCACAACAAAAUGAGGAAGCUGAUCCCUCUAAAACCGAGAAGAAGCCAAAGGCGAAAGAGAUUAAGGUCUUCUUGUCAGGAAAAACUGUUGCAGGGGAAGUUCCACCUUCCUCUCCAAAAGCAAAGGAUUCUAAGCCCGAUACUAGUAAAGCAAAGGAGCCAUCACAAUCACAUAUAGUUAAGUAUGAUAUUCUAGCUCAUCUUAAGCGCAUCCCCGCUCCUCUAAGUGUCUACGACGCUUUACAAAUGUCGAGGGAACUUAGGGAGGCACUUGUAAUGGCUUUAAUGAACCCAGAUUUGUAUAAGUCAUGUUUCAAAUCAGCAGAUGUCCACACAACUGAAACAUCGAAGUUUUGUGCAUCAUGUCUGGCAGCAAUUACCUUUGGUGAAGAUGACUUUUUACUGGGGUCCAAAUUCCAUAAUCGACCUCUGUAUGUCACUGGCGAAGUUGGAGGCACAACCAUUAAUCGAAUCUUGUUAGAUUGUGGUUCGGCCGUGAAUAUUAUCCCAUUAAAGACGCUCCAUGCUAUAGGGAUGAGUGCCCGACAGCUGUCUCCCUCUAUGCUGACUAUUCAAGGGUUCAAUCAACUUGGGCAAAAGGCCAUGGGCUCUAUCGCAUUGCAAAUGGAAAUAGGAGACUUAUAUUCAGACGCCCUAUUCCAUGUGAUCGAGGCUGAUACUUCAUACAACGUCCUGCUAGGACGUCCAUGGCUCCAUACAUAUGGCGUAGUCCCUUCUACACUUCACCAGUGCUUUAAAUACUUGGUGGAUGGGGAAGUCAAGAGUGUUUCAGCUGACAUGGACCCAUUCAAAGGGGAAGAGGUAAAUUACUCUGAUGCGAAGUUUUACAACCCACUUGGUCUCUCAUUUACACAGCCAUCAAAGGUUGAUAAGGAGAAAAGGGCGACUGUUGAAACAGGAAAAGCCCAAAAUGUAGAAGUAUCCAAACCUUCAAAAGUAAUCCGAGUGAAGCUAAAACCUCGUGGUGCGUCAUCCUCAAAAGUGGGAGAAGUCCCGACUGCAAAGGCUCCCAAGCCAAAGAUAAUUGUCAAGACUUCAAAAAAGGAGCCUAGUGAAAAGGAAACAAGCUCAUUGAAACAAACAAUGGAGUCACUGACGACAGCAAGUUACACUCGUCCUCUUCGUAAGAUCAAUCAGUCUAUCCCAGGGGGCAGUUUGGUCAUUUCGACUACUUUUGGCAAAAACGAUGGCCCAAGUAAACGUGUAGUUUUUCACAAAAAGGCAUCAUUGUCAGAAACAACAUCUGCUCCAUUAAAGAUAGAACUUAAAGGCAGAAAAGCAAAGAAAAGCAAUGCUGGCCUCACAGUUCAAAAUGAGAGUGGCGGACUCAAAGUGUCUCUUCGAAGGCCAUAUCUGGAAGCCUCCGAGCCUGAGAUACUCACUAAUAUGGAACAAGCUAUGUUUAGGGAAGAUGAGGUGAAUAUAAAGCCGAUUCGCAUCUCCGUGUUCAAACGCUUAGGGGGCAGACAACCACCCCGCAUCUCAGUCUUUCAACGCUUGGAGAACCCUUCCAGUUCUCAACAAGGGAAGGUCCAUAAUAAAAGGAAAUGGAAAGUUAAGAGUCAAGAGAAAGCUGUGAGCGAAACGAUCAAAAGGGUGAAAAUAAAGGAUGACCUUGUCCAGGUCAAUUGCACCUCUUGUGAAGAAACAGUGGACCAAGAUGAUAGUCCUCAAGAUAUUGAGGAAUUCAUCGACAUAGUCCAACCAGCUCCACCACAAAUGGAGGAGGGAGGUCAAGCCACAAUUGAUGAUCUGCAAGAAAUUAAUCUCGGUACGGUUGACAACCCAAAGCCUAUCUUUGUCAGUGCUUUGUUAACACCGCAAGAGUUAGAAGAAUACACACAACUGUUGCAAGAGUACCGAGAUGUAUUUGCAUGGGGUUAUCAAGACAUGCCAGGUUUAGACCCAAACGUUGCAGUUCACAAACUUGGGAUACCUGAUGAGGCUCGAUGGGUGAAGCAAGCGCCACGCCGUUUUCGGCCAGAGCUAACAAUCCAAAUAGAAAUCGAGAUUGACAAGCUUAUUGCCGCGGGUUUUAUCAGAGAGGUCCAAUAUCCCACCUGGUUGUCCAAUAUCGUCCCAGUCCUCAAAAAAACUGGGGCACUACGUAUAUGUGUGGACUAUAGAGACGUCAAUGAUGCAUGCCCAAAAGAUGAGUUUCCACUCCCAAUUACAGAAUUAUUGGUAGACGCAACAACCGGUUUCGGUGCUCUAUCAUUUAUGGAUGGAUUCUCAGGUUACAACCAAAUAAAAAUGGCUCCAGAGGAUCAAGAGAAAACUGCCUUCCGCACUCCAAAAGGAAUAUAUUGCUACACUGUGAUGCCUUUUGGGUUGAAAAAUGCAGGGGCGACUUACCAAAGAGCCAUGACGGUAAUUUUCAAUGACAUGCUUCACAAUACCAUUGAAUGCUACGUUGAUGAUUUGGUUGUCAAAACCAGAAAAAGAGAACAUCAUUUGAGGGACUUAAAACGAGUUUUUGAUAGACUCCGAAAGCACCAGUUGAAAAUGAACCCCUUAAAAUGUGCAUUUGGGGUAAGUUCUGGUAGAUUCCUUGGCUUUAUCGUCCGACAUCGUGGAAUUGAAAUUGAUCCCUCAAAAAUCAAGGCAAUCCGUGAGAUGCCUCCCCCUCGAAAUUUAAGGGAGCUGCGGGGGCUGCAAGGAAGACUAGCUUACAUACGACGAUUCAUCUCAAAUCUCUCUGGAAGGUGUCAACCAUUCUCAAGGCUAAUGAAGAAGAAUGUUCCGUUUAUAUGGGAUCAAGCAUGCCAAAAUGCUUUGGAAAGCAUUAAACAAUACCUGUUAAAUCCGCCAGUUCUAAUGGCGCCAAUCAAAGGGAAGCCUUUAAUCCUAUACAUUGCGGCAUUAGAACGCUCAUUAGGUGCAUUGCUCGCCCAACACAACGAGGAUGGAAAGGAAAAUGCGUUAUAUUACUUGAGUAGAACUCUCGUAGGGGCAGAACAAAAUUACACCCCGAUCGAAAAGGUCUGCCUCGCUUUGGUGUUCGCUGUACAGAAACUACGACACUACAUCCUCUCUCAUAGAGUCAUUUUGAUUUCCAAGGCAGAUCCACUCCGAUAUUUAAUGUCCAAGCCUGUGCUCUCUGGGCGAAUAGCCAAGUGGUCUCUCCUCCUCUCCGAGUUCGAGAUAAAGUUUGUGCCACAAAGGGCAAUCAAAGGGCAGGCUCUUGCUGAUUUCUUGGCUGCUCAUCCUACUCCUGACAACAUGGAGUUAUCUAAUGAUUUGCCCGACGAAGAGGUGUUCACUACAGAAGCACUUAUAUGGCAGUUAUAUUUUGAUGGGGCAGCAAGAGGAAAAGGAGCUGGGGCAGGAGUAGUAUUCAUCACGCCGUCUGGGGGCUUAAUCCCAUACUCAUUCUCUUUUCUAGCUUUAUGUUCAAAUAAUGUGGCAGAAUACGAGGCACUCAUCAUUGGCCUUGAAAUUGCUCUCGAGAUGCAUAUUGAUUAUUUGCAAGCAUACGGUGAUUCACAGUUAGUCGUUAGACAGUUGAAUGGCCAAUACGCAGUCAGGAAUACUACUCUCGUCCCAUACCAUGAAAGGGCAAAGUAUCUCAUGUCGCAGUUCCAAGACAUCCAUGUUAGUCACAUCCCGAGGUCGGAAAAUGAUAAAGCUGAUGCACUAGCUAAUUUGGCUGCAUCGUUAACACUACCUGACGAAAGGGAUAUCCAAAUCACUGUUGGGGAACGUCACUUACUACUCCCAGCUAUAGAGAGAAUUGAGGAAGUUGUUGAUUCAAACGUCAUUACGGCUUCCGAAUGUGAGGGGGAACCAGAUGAUCUUGAUUGGCGCCAUCCCAUAAUCGAGUAUCUCCAACAAGGCAAGUUGCCAAAUGACUCAAGGAAAAAGGCUGAAGUCCGACGCAGAGCCACUCGAUUUCUGUACCUAAAUGACACCUUGUACAAAAGAUCAUUUGAUGGUAUGUUGUUAAGGUGUCUGUCGAAACAAGACUCAACUAAGGCCCUUCAUGAUACUCAUGCUGGCACUUGCGGUGCUCAUCAAGCUGGUCCAAAACUCUCAAACCAACUGAAGAGAUUGGGUUAUUACUGGCCAACAAUGGUCCAAGACUCAAUGAAAUUUGCAACCACAUGCAAAGAUUGCCAGUUACAUGGAGACUUUAUUCACCAGCCACCCCAACAAUUACAUCCGACUACUUUGUCUUGGCCAUUUGAAGCUUGGGGAUUAGAUGUUAUUGGCAUGAUAAAGCCUAAGUCAUCACGUCAACAUCAGUACAUCUUGGCCGCGACCGAUUACUUCUCUAAAUGGGCUGAAGCGAUUCCUUUAAAGGAGGUACGAGCAGACGAUGUUACAAACUUCAUAAGAAAUCAUAUCAUCUACCGUUAUGGGGUUCCAUCGAAGAUAAUAUCCGACAAUGCAUUAUAUUUCAAGUGCAAGUCCAUGACCAAGUUGUGCGAGAAGUAUAGAUUUCAACACUCGUUUUCCGCGAAUUACAAUCCGUCGUCAAACGGUCAAGCUGAAGCUUUCAAUAAGGUACUGUGCAACAUCCUAAAGAAGGCGGUCUCAGGAAAUAAAAGAGACUGGCAUGAGCGCCUCCCUGAAGCAUUAUGGGCUUAUAGGACGACCAUACGCAAUUCAACAGGAUGUACACCCUACAAUUUAGUGUUUGGCUCCGAGGCUGUUCUACCGUUAGAAGUCCAAUUGCCAUCGUUAAGGGUAGCUCUACAGCUGACAAACCCCGACGAAAACGCAUAUGUGAGACUGGCAGAGCUGGAAGCCCUCGAUGAGAAAAGACUAGCAGCUCAACAAAAGCUCGAAAUAUAUCAAGCUCAGGUUGCAGGGGCAUUCAACAGAAAAGUUAAGUUCAGAUCUUUCUCAAUUGGAGAUUUGGUUUUAACUGUCCGAAGACCAUUUGUCAUUACCAGGAAAAUGCACGGUAAGUUUGAACCCAAGUGGGAGGGGCCCUACGUCAUUACCAAGGUUUUCUCUAGGGGUGCCUAUGAGUUGUCAAACGCCGAAGGCAAGUGCGUAUACCCUUGUGUGAAUGGGAAAUUCGUCAAGAAGUUUUAUGCCUGAUGGUGAGAAAAAAAGCUCGUUGGACUGAAAACCCAAAAGGGCGGUCCAAGCAAAAGUUAGAGCUUAAAAAAAAAAAAAAAAAAAAAAAAAAAAAAAACCUUCGUGGGCUGAAAACCCGAGAGGGCAGUCCAAGGAAAGGAACUACGGCGGCUUGAUCCCUCAAAAGGGGUACGUAGGCAGUCUAGUCUUGCCACUAGAUGCGGCCACAAAAUCCAUUCGUCCCUUUCUUCCCCUGAGAAUCAAAGGGUGAACUACGUAUGGCUUGAUCCCUUUAUAGGGUACGUAGGCAACUUAGCUUUAAAAAAAAAAAAAAAAAAAAAGCUGAGUGCAGUCGUAAAUCACCAAAAUCCCCAUCUCACCAUUGCCAUGAUGAAAGGUGUUGCACAAGGGCCCCCAUAAUUCACAAAAUGCUCUCCAUAUAUUUGCGCAACACUCGUAAGGAUAUCGGGAAAUUGCUAUGGCACCAUAUAAUUUUUGCCUUAUGCAAUAUGUCUCCAUCCACUUCAUUAUUCACAUCCGCCAAACAAUGUGCUGUAAACACAGCACGAUGCGUUUGGCAUACUGAAAUCACCUUAUCUUCUGCAUACCCAGAAUUUACAGAGGCGGUG
rnacentral:lncRNA from 1 species